rnacentral:lncRNA from 1 species
UACCAAGAUCAGCUGUGAAGAGGCCUUCUCCUUCAUAAUUCGGUCCUGCUAGAAUUUCGCCAUGGGGCGAAAUGAUGACACUACCUCCAGCCCAAACAAUAGAAUCUGGAGUGACAUCUUCUUCUGUAGGACUGUAAAGAUACUCAGGUGGAGGUGGGUAAUCUUUCCUCCGACAGAACUGGAUGGGUGAAAGAACAUAGCAUCCACCCUCAAUAGCGACGUGUCUCAUUGUAGCUACCCAUGUAUCCCCGGAAUCGGCAGUAGGAGCACAAUAUAUCUCAAUACCUAUAGAGAUGUACAUUCGUAUUUUGUGAUCAAUCAAUCCCAUAUCAAAGCCAUAAUGUAUUUCAAGCCUAUUUAUAGGCUAAAACCCUAACAACUUAAAAAAGAGUACUGAAGUAUUUCAAGCCAAACCAUAUUAGUUAGUGAAGAAAAAGACAUACCUUUGCCAUACAUUGAUGUCCUGAAAAGCGGCAUUCUAUUUUCCCAACAAAUGACCGAACCAAGUUUUCCAUAUGGAGUAUCAUAAACUGGAGUAGUCGAGCAAUCUCCGAAACCCCAGAACAGCCGCUCCCAAUAUGUUGGCAUGAGUUUCCUAUGUUUUCCAAGGUAAUUACCUUCAGGAUCAAAGAAGAGAACAGUGCAAUACAAUGUGUAUCCAUCUCUCUCAACAACACCUGUCACUAAGUAGACUUUGUAUUUCGCAGCCAUUGAUGCCAAUCUAUCCACUUCAGGUCCUGAAAAUACAUUAAUAUGAGAUCAAAGAUGAAAUAUGUAAGCUGAUGGCUCAUCACAAAGCAUAAGUAGAUUUUUUUUUUCUUGGUUCAUUCAUCAAACGUGUCUUGUUUCAAUAACUAAUUAAGUGGUUCAGUUCUUUGGCUAUUUAAGGGAGAAAGAGAGAGGUAACUGACCCGGCACAUUAAUGGCAGAAGCAUGGUACUUGCGGAAACUUUCUUUCCCUCUUGGCGACUGGUCGGCGAAAUUGUAUCCCCGGGGAUACCCACCGAUAAAUGCUUCAGGAAACACAACCAGUUGGGAUCCUAGUGCAGCUGCUUCUUUCAAAAACCUCUCAGCCUUAUCUGCUCUCAAAAUCACAUUGCAAGAAUUAAUAAUCCACGACUUAGUAAAUUAAUUGGUUGAAUGGACAGAAUGAAAAUUAACUUCAAGAGAUCCCGAAUGACUUUUUGGUUGCUGAGAAAACUCAAGGAAAAAGAGACCUAGAUGAAACUUGAAACUCUCAUAUUUUCAGCUGUUUUGUAACUAAGAAAAGAGAAACCACCUCAACCCAACUCAUUAAAAUAAUUGUAAAAGCAGUAAUUCCUUGAUUGGCAGCUGAAAAUAUGAUCAGGGUUCAAUCAUCCUUUUCUUUUUUUCAGUCUCUGAGCAACCAAUUAGAUCACAUAUUCCAUUACACAAGUUGAACAAUUGAAAGAAAUGGUACGUUACCUAGAGUGGCAGGAGUAUCAUAAAAGAUACUAGAAGCUUGAACAACGGUGGCUCUAACAGUUGAAGACAUUGCAGAAAUCGUAUGCUUUUUCGUUUCCCUUUUGUUUGAGGAUUCCUUACACAACGUUCAGUAUAUAUAUUGCCCAUGAACAUGAGGUUCUUCUGCCAUUACUUGAACGAGACGAAGAGGCUGUGAAAAGUCUACCUUGGUUUUCUAUAUUCAUUGUGAGCUUUUCUCCUCAUCACAAAUUUUGAAGUUAUCCGCAGACAUUGUGGACCAGCCACAUGACUUGUACAAAUUGAAAAUGACUGUAAGAAAAUGACUCAGCCAAUUCAAGAUAUUUGUCAUUAAAAGAAUAGUCAUUAAAAGCACAAGAUAUUUGUCAUUUUUUUUUUUACAAAAACGACUGAGUCGUACAUAGUGUUAUGGUUAUAGACGCCCAAAAGAAGUCUUUUUGUGCCUUGUAAGAAAACCUUAGCCAAUUCAAGAUGACCACAGAAUCAAAAUAAGUUUUAUCGCUUUCUUUUUUUUCUACAGGUACGAUGAUUAUCUUUGAACGAAAAGAGGGAGCCGCCCACAUGCACAUAAAAAGGGAGUAAUGAGUGAUUCAAUGGCAGCUAUGGUAGAAAAAUAAAAAGGGAACUAUGCUUACCCUCACGUUGAUUCAAGCAAAUAUAUUUUUUAGGAAUUCUAAUUUUCAUAUUUCACCCCAAACACAUAAUCAAUAAAUUUAUUCUUCAAAUAUGUAUUUUAAUAACAACCAAAAUGAGAAUUCUAUAGUUAUCCCUUUUAAAAUCUUUAAUAUGACAAGUCAUCAUUUGAUCUGUUUGAUAUCCUCUCCAUAUCAUGUCUUUGAUAUCCUAACUUUGACAUUUUUUUAUUUAUAUACGCUGAAGUGAAUACACUUUCAUAUUUCUUUUUAUUCUUUUAAUAUUUUCAUAUUUAUUAACUUAGUCAUUUUUUUGAAACAUUAACAUAAAAUUAUAAUAUAUGAUCAAUAACUAAUAAGAACAAAUUAAACAUAAAUAUAAGUACGGAAUGGACAGAAAAUAAAAAAUUUAUCCUACAAAUAAUACACUAUAUAGUUUAAAAUAUUAAUUAUAAUAAUAUAUUUGAUACUUUAGGGUUUAGAUUAAAAAAUUAUGUUUUAUUUUUUAGAGGCUAGGAUAUAGGAUUUCCAUUAACCAAAGAUUUUUUGUAUGAAUCCUAAAUAAAAUGUGUAUUUAUUUUGCAAAUUCUUAUCAUAUAUAAAUAAAAUAAAAUAAAUAUAUUUUUAUCAUAUUAUUUUUAAUUUUUAUUAUUUUGUGUCAAAAUCACAGUCAAUGAUGGUGGUUUUUGUUAUGAUAUAGCUCUUAAAAGGAUGUUAUGAUGCAAUAAAUAUGAAGUUUAUUAUUUAUUUAAUGGUAUUUUGAUUUUACUUUUAUUAAUCUUUAUUUCAUGCAUUUUACCUUAUGAGUAUUCUAGCUUGACAUUUCUUGCACUAUACAUAACUUGGGUGCAUUAAAAAUUGCAUGAAAGAUCCAAGUUAUAGGUUCCUUGCAAGUAAAUGAUUUGUUCACAACCGCUUUGUGAACUUAAGCAAUCCAUUUGAUGUCGUAGUUCACUACCUCUUCAUUAGAGGAAUGAUUUAUCUUGACUACCAAGAUAGAGUUCUCAUGGUGAGUACACUAGUAUGAUGAGUUAUAAUUUAUAAUGUAAGGUUGUUGGGUAGUCAUAACUCACUAAGUUGUUAUAUUGUAUUAUCUUCUCAACCUUGAGAGGAUACUGAACUUGUGCCAAAGUCUAUAAUUGUUUGACCUAUGGGUGAGAUUCUAAAGUGAUUAUAUAUUCCUUACAGAUUGGUCACAGUAGAUAGAAGUCAGUAGUAAUAAGUAUUCUCAAUACAAACAUCACGAUAUCUCAUGGAAUUUGAGAUAGUGUUGGGUCAUAAUAAGGACAUGUGAUCAUGAAAUCUAUGGUCGCAUUAAUUCUUUAAAUGAAAUUUGAUAUAUGCUUUUGUGAGUUAGAGUAUGCUAGUUGAUCAUAUAAUAAGAGAAUAUGUGACUCAAGAAUGGUAUAGGUAAUCUUGAAAGGCAAAUAUCUUUCACCUUAUUAGAUUAUAAACACUAAUUCCUGGGGAGACUAUAUGCAAUAGAUAGCAGGUCACGAACUUAAGCACUUUGUGUCUUGUUGUAAUACACAUAGGGUAUUGAAGUGUAGUUGACUUUCUAUAGUAAGAUGUUGAGUCAAUUUUAAAAUUUGAUUAUAAGGGAGCUAGUACUAUCCUAUGGGUCUUAGCAGUCCUUGCUCAAGUUCAUAUAUCUCAAUGGCAUGGUUUAUGAGGGUUGGAUUAACUCAUGAUUCACUUAUGUGCAUAAGGCUGUUUUGGCAAGUAUGCAUGAUUACAUAGGAGUUUGUUGGGACAAAACCUUAUAAAGUAUGACAUGAUGUAAUAGAUUUAGUUUCAUUAAUAAAUUUAUUUAUUUACUAUUCUAGUUCCCUUGUAUUAUCCCAUUGGCAUUAAUUGGUUAUCAAAGUAUUUACACCCAUAUCACUUGCAUUGUACAUGACUUAGGUGUAUUUAGAGUUGACCAAAAAAUCCAAGUCAUGGGUUCUUUGCAAGGUAAUAAAUAGUUUAUAGUAGGUUCAUGGAUUUGAGCAAUUUAAUAGAGACUAUAGUGUACUACUUCCCAAUUGGAGAGAUGACUAGUCUUAGUCACCGAGAUGACUUUCCCAUGAUGAGUGCAAUAAUGUGUAUAGUUACACAUUGGACAUGACCUAUGGUGAAUCAUGACAUUAAUUGUUGGGUAGUCAUGAUUCACCAUGAUACUAGAUUGUAUAAACUCUCAACCUUGAGAAAAUAUUGAGUUUAUGCUAAAAUCAACAAGAAGCUUUUAUCUAUGGGUGAGAUCCUAAUGUGGUCAUAUAUUCCUUACAAAUUAGGUUACAGUUGAUGAAGGUUGGUGGCAACAGGUAUUCUUAAUAGAGACAACAUAAUAUCUUAUGAGAUUAAGACAACGUGUCUCUUGGGUGAUCCUAAAGACAUGUGAUCAAGAUGACUAUGACCAUAGUAAUUCCUUUAGUAGAAUUUGACAUAUGCUCUUUGUAAGCUAAAGUAUGUAAAUUGAUCAUUAAUAAGAGGAUUUGUAACUCAAGGAUUGGAGAGAUAAUUUUGAAAGGUUGCCAUCACUACCUUGUUAGAUUACAGACACCAGUUCACGGGGAGUUUACAUGCAGUAGAUAGUAGGUCAUAGACCUAAACUUUUCCUUAUUGUAAUUAUAUAGGAUAUUGGAGUGUAGUUGACUUUCUUUAGUAAGGUGUUAAGUUAACCUUAGAAUUGGAUUCAAAGCGAGCUAGCAUUUUCCUAUAGGUUCCAAUGGUCCCUGCUCAAUCUCUCAUUUAAUGGUGUCACAUUUGUUUAAGGUAUUUUAGGUUUGUAGUUAACAAGUGUGCAUUAGGGGGAAUUUAAUAAAAAUACAAGGUUGGACUAGAUAUUGUGAAUAGACUUUCUAGAUUGGCCUAAUUUAUUAAUGGAUUCCAAUAUGGCUAAUUAAUUAAUUAGGAUCUAAGUGAGUUAAAUUAGGUAACCUAAGCCCACUUUAGGCUUAAGUCACUAAAGUUCACAAGGAAGCUUAUAAAUAACUAUUUAAAGCUUAUUGGGUUUUAUGAGUAACUUAAGCUUGCCUUGGGUUUGGGUAAGUUAUCAUAACCUAAAAAAGUUCUUAAUUGAGCGCUUAGAUUAAUCAAUUAGCUUAGUCCAGAAAUACCUUUCACCAACUCUAUUGGAAACUUUGAAUUACUCCAUUUCAUGAUCUAGGAUCAAAUAGGGUGCAUGCAACUAUCUUUAGGUUUUUCUAGAUCUAAUGCACUAGAAAAAUAUGGAUAUAAAAUCCAUAAAAUGUACUAGAUUUAUAGAUUAAAACUCAUACCUAUGAUUUCAAUGUUUCUAAAUUAAAUCCAAUCCCUAAAAGAUAUCAAAGAUGUUUUAAAAGUCAUCUAUCAAACAAUUUUCCACCCAAUCUCUCCCUCCACAAAUAGACCCUAGCACAAAAAAAGGUGAAUGCUGGAAUUUUCGUCAAUUAUUGGAUCAAAACAAAAUUUAUAACCUAAUUCACUAUUCUAUAGCAGCUUGUACCCGAUCAAAAAGUGGUUUUAGUACAAACUAUUGUAGUAUAGUGGUUUUUAGGUGUCGUCCACUAGGAUGGAUUGUUCUCGGUAAUUAAGGCUUGAAUGAGAUGAUAAGAAAUUAUUGCAAUCAAGUGAAAAUGAUUUGACAAUUCAUGAUAAAAGUUCAACAUAACAAUGAUUUCAAAUUUAGAGGAAAAUGAAGGGUAAAAGAGAAGAAAAUUAAUAGAAGAUGAAAUUCUUGGAGGUAGGAUUUUCUAGAAAAAAAUUUCCACGGUGAAUAGAUGUUGAGAUCUAAUUUUCAUCAAGUUAGAUUGAAAACCUAAAUUUUCAUCUAAACCAAUUUUUGAUUUAGCUUUAGGUCUAGAUCUAAUUUCUCUUCAAAUUAGGUCAUUUAAUCCAAGAGAUCAAUUCAAAUUAUAUAUUCAAUUCAUCUUAAACUAUCUUCCAAUGAUUCACAUAAUGCAACUAUUCAAUCUCAUCAAAUCUAGCUUUAAGAAUUUGAUGAAUCUACCUAGCUUGCAUUGUAGUAAUCAUCCAAGACAAUUUGAAGAGAAAAAUCCUCAAAUUUCAAUUAAUCAAUCAAUUGGAUCAAAUUACCUUUUCAAUUCAAGCUCAUUUCUCUAAUUCACCAUAGAUUUUGCCUCUAGAUCCUCCCUCCUUUGAGAAAAAUGAGAUUUAGCCACUCAUGCUUGGAGAUUUUGCCUCACAAAACAUUUUUGGCUAGCGAGAAAAUGAAGGAAAGUGGAAAAUUCUAGAGAAAGAGAAAAUAUGGAAAAUUCUACAAUUAGAAAAUGUCUAAUUUUUUUUGAAAAUGAGUAAAUCAAGUUUCUAUUUAUAGGCCAAGGUCAAGAGGACACUUGGCAUCAUCUAAGAGGUCUUUUAAAGGCUUCUUCAUCAAGAAAUUUGGAGUUUAGUAAUAAAAUGUCCAUUUCGCAAGAGAUCCAGCACUUUCACACGAGCUCCAUCAAUUUCGCAUGAGUGUGCGAAGUGGAAAAUGCAUCAGCACCAAUUUCGCCUUCUUAGAGCAUUUCGCAUGACUGUGCGAAAUUUUCGCAUGGUCGUGCAAAAUCAGCUUCAAGAUUUCCCUUUGAGCUGUAGCCAAAAUUGCCUUCUGGUCCAUUUCAAUUUUAUACUCUGUGUUUUUGGGAUGAAUGACAUGUGAAAGUUGGAAUUUGCUAAAAAAAUAUACAUAUAUUUUUUUGAGUUAAUGUUUGUAAGCAUAAUUCUCCCAAAAACCGGUCAUGCUUCAUCAUAUUGUAUGUUUGUUUUUUUUUAUAAUGUGUGGUUAUUCAUCUUUAUAUUUGUGUAAUGGAUUGAUAUCUAUAAAUUAAGAGUAUCAAUUGAUAGGUAGAUGAAUCAAUUGAUUGGGCAUCUAAGAGUCUUAUGUGUAGAAGACUAAAAUUAUAAAUGGGGAGUUAGAAAACUUUUCAUUUAUAUGAAUAGGGUGUUACAAUUUUUGUAAUCCUAUCAUUAUGAGAUUUAAUUUGUAUAUAAAGUUUAUGAGUAAUGGAGGAAGAUGGAAAAGUAUAACCUAUGCAAUUAUAUAAAUGCAUUCAAGUUGGUAACCCACAAUUAUCCAUUAAUUUGUACAUAAUGUUUGUAAAUAAUGAAUAUAACUCCCGUGUAGUCUUUGAUGCAUGAGAAGACUAAGAGAUAUAAAUCUCUUUUAUAAGAUCAAGAUCCUAAGUCAUACUCUCAUUCUUAUGUCUUUUUGUUAUUUUACUUAUAACAACAUAUAACACACAAGUGACCCGUCUACUAUAUGAGAGUAGUGAGUUGAAGAUCUUGAGCAAAACAAUUCACAAGAUGACUCAAGCUCACUUCAAAAGUAUUAUCAAUAUCAUGGAUGAAGGUAAAAAUAUGAUCAUUAUAUUAUCAUUGCUUUAGCAUUUAUAUCUAUUAUGUUUUAUGCAUCCAAAAUUGAUUUUCCAAAAUAAUUGUUUUCACAUAAAGUUUAGUUAACAUGUACUUCUAUUUUAAAAUUUUAAAAUUUUAAAAUAAAUUUGCAGAAAUCACUUUUAAAUGUUUUUUUAUAAAAAAAAAUUUAAAAUAUGAAAGAAUCACAUAUUUUUUCAACUUUGAAAAAUAGACCUAAUAAACAUAUUUAACAUUUAUAGCAAUUAAAAAUUAAUUAAUAUUUUUUAAAAAAAAAUUAAAUAAAAGCAAUGGUGUAUCCAAAUAAUACCUUAUUCACCCAAUUUAGUUAUCAUAUGCCUUUAGUACCGAAGUGGCUGACUAAAUUUUUUCUCAAGGUAUAAUAAUGCUAAAAGAUCUUUAACCAAAACAUGGACUUCACUCUUAUUUCUUCCUACCACUUUAAUUUCACCCAACUUCACCUAUAGAAGCUCAUUCAUGUCUUAUCUUGUUUGUCUAGUUUGAACCUCAUGUUGCUCAAGUCCCAAAAGGAAUAAAAUUUCAUUCAGAAUAUAAUUAUGCACAAAAUCCUCAUUAGGGUUAGAGUUUGCUCCUUCAUUAAUUAAUUAUAAUGGUUUAGGGUCAGAAUAACAUACUUUAUUAUGUUAAAGUAUCCUAAACUUUGUUAGCAAACACAUAUGGCUGAAAGCGAAGAAUGAUCAAGAGUCCAAGUACUAACAAAGGGCACUUAUGAACCAUAGGUUGAGGAAAGUGGCUUGAGCCCAAGCUUGGGGCUUAGGUUAUUUUUUGUUUAUGCAAUACUUAAAUCCAAACUUAAAGGUGACAUUAGAAACAUAUUUCAAUCUCAUAUUUUAUCCUCUUAACUAUUGGACCUAAUUGCACUCGACAUGGAACUUGUUUAUGCAUUUUGGGAAUCACAUGCAUUUUAGUCCCAAAAUAGCUAUGCAACUUUUUUUUCCACCUAAUUAAGUUCAAAAUUAAGGGGGUGUUUGGUAAAACUUAAUACCUUUUACUAAUGACUUAAAUUGACUUUAAGUUAAAUUAUAUUUAACUUGCUAACUUAAAACUUAUUAUUUAAUUCUUACUUCAAGUAUUAAGGUUGUUUAAUAAAAUUAAUUUAAAACAUAUUUUAAAUCAUCAAAUUGAUAUAUUAUCCUCAUAAAUUAUAACUAGAGUAUAAGAGGUUGAGUGACAAUGAAGGUCGUGGAGUAGUAAAGAAAAUUGUGGAGGUAACUAGGAUAAAUGAGAAUAAAAAAGUAGAAUGAAAAUAUAAAUUUUAAAAUAAGUUAAUUGGUUUUACUUUUUCUUAAAAUUAUUUUUGAUUUUAAGUCAUACCAUUAAAUUAUUUUAAUAAACAUAAUUUACUUAAUAACUUAAAUUAAAUUAUUAAGUUGUUAAUUUACCAAACACCUACUAAUUUUCAAAUUCUAAGUUUAGCUUUGCUUUGCAGUGAAUGCAUUUAGGAUUAUCAAAGAGGUCAUCAAGGGUUUCAAACAUAUUUUAUUGCUCAACUUCUCGAAGAGGGACUUCAGAAGAGAAGAUUCCAUAAUUCUAGUUUUGUAUGCGAUUGUAUGUAUCCUACCACAUGGAGACGAUUCCUCAGCAUGCUGAUUUAUUAUUAAGUUCAUGUGAAUUACGUAUGGAAUUCCAAUUGAUGUGAACAUAAAAUUAAUUGAAUUAUGUGACAUUUUUUUUACGCAGAAUAAAACAUAUACAGUUGGAAGAUAUCUCGAGAUUCUGAUUUUAUAUCUGGCCCUCAAAAUUCUAUUUCACUGUCAGGUUGUGGACGUUCCACCCAGCUGGAGCAGAUCCCUUGGCAUGCUGAUAUGCCAACUAUUGAAAAGUCUGCACCCAUUUUCUAUAUUCAUGAGCUUUUCUCCUGUUCGAAUUAGUUUUGAAGUUAUCUACAGACAUGACUUGUACAAAUUGAAAAGUUUUAAUUAGGGCAGCAAAAGUAAUCCCUUCAAUUUUAUUAUUAUUGUUAUUAUUAUUACCUUAUAAAAAGAAUUUACCCAAUCAAAAGUGAUCGCAUAGUCAAAAUAGAUUUUAUUUUUUCUUAUCUUACAAUAAUAUAAAAAAAUAUAUAUAUACUUUCAAUCAAUGUCUCAUAUUUCUAACACGUACGCGCUCUAGAAUUUCUCGAAUUGUAGUCUAGAGUGUCAACUUUUAGUGUUUGAUCAAAAAGGCCAUAAACAAAUAUAUGAAAAAAGUAAUCAACAAGCAGAGGAUUCUUUUUGAAUAAAAAAGACCCACUUACAAGCAUGGAUUAUAAAUUGUCUUCAGUUGCGGCUGAAACUUUCUAUAUGACUUUAAAGAAAAAAGAGGUCAUAAAUAGAUAGCUGAGAACAAGUUGAGGGAUUCAAAGGCAGCUAUGGUAUAAAUAUUGUUUUAUAAAUUAAACCUUUUGUACCGCCUCUACAAAGGAACACAAAAUUGAGAGAUUCAAAGGCAGCUAUGGUAUAAAUAUUGUUUCAUAAAUUACUUUUCAAAUUUAAUUUGAUAGCAAAAAUUUAAAAUAUAAAAGUAUAAAAAAUUUGUUUCAUUCCCAAAAUUUUUGCAAAUAAAAUUUAAAGUAAUAAAUUAACACCAUGACUCUUUUCACAUCUUAUUCUCAUUUCUAUCAAAGCAAUGAUAGUAAUUGUCUUAUCUAUAAAUUUUAAAUGAUGUAAGAUCAUUGAAUUUUUAUUUUCUUUUAAACUUCUUGUUAUGUAAUUAUCAAACAUAUUUUUUUAAGACAAGAAAAAAAUUACACCGAACAAAUAGAUUUGAUACUUAGAAUAAUUGAAAACAUAAUUCGUAUUUUCCAUUUUUAAAAAUAAUAAAAGCAAAGGUGUUUCAAAACAAUACCUCAUUUGCUCAAUUAAUUAUCACAUUUCCUAAGUACAAAAGUAGGCAAGUAAAUUUUUGCUCAAGUUACAAUAGUGCUCCAAAUCCUUAUCCAAGAUUUUGAUCCUAUUUCACAAUUGUUUUUUAAAACAGUUUUUUUCUUCUCUACAACAAAAAAAAAAAAAAAACAAGAAAAUGUGUUUGAGAAUUGGAAAAUAAAGUGUUUUCAAAAAAACAUAUGUUAGUUGUUUUUAGUUUUUCUUCAUUAGCUUUUUUGAAGGUUGUUUUUAAAAAUAAUUAUACAAAUAUGAAGAAUUAUUAAAAAUAUAAUUUUAUAGACAAAAGUUAUUUUAAAAUUAUAUGCACGAGUUUUGGAAAGUCUUGCAAAAUAAGCAAAACUAUAGGAAAAAUAUGCAAAUAAAAUUUGUAUUAAAAUCAUUGGGGGCCCCCGCAUUUCGGCUCAUGCGCUUCCACUCGAUGGUGAGCUCGAUUUUUAUUUUGAAAAAUGAUUUAUUAUUUGAAAAAUGACUUGAAGUCGCCACUUAUUUUUGUUUUAUUUUUAAAGGGUAAACAAAAUAAGAAAGAAAACUCUAAAUGUGACUCCUUAUUUGGAAAAGGUGGUCUGUGAAAAACCGGAUCGGGCUCGGGGGUUAGGUUACUUAUUGGGAAGGUACGGUAAAAACCGUAGCACCCCUCUAAGUCCCCAAAAACGGGUCUUUACUAAUGAAAUGAAGCAAUCAUGACAAUUGAUAAGUAAAUCAAUGGAUACCGAAUGAAAAUCGAAACAAAAUACCCAAAUGAAUUUGAGAGACAAAGAACGUACCUGAGUGACGAGCUGAUUUAUUUCAUUGGAAACAAAGGUUAGUGAACAAACACAAAUGAUCGUGUGCAUAUCAUAGAAUAGAACAAAUCAAUCACAUAUAGCAAUCAAAUCAAUCAAUCAUAAAAUCGCAUAUGUUGGGCCCCCACUAAAACCCAUUUAUUUUUGCAUGAAUUAAUUCUGUAAAUUCCAUCACUCGGAAUUAUAGAAUUUAAUUCAUGCUUAUUUUAAAACAUUUAAAAAACAGAGGAGAUGUGAGUAUUGCUCAUCAGAAAAGAAGAUGGCAACAAAGUUUUAUUAAAAAUGGGAUUUUUGGUACCUAAAACUCUAAGGAUGAAAAUUUUGGAGUUGAGAUUAUUUAAAAAGUUAGAAUCUGAAAAAUUAUUUUUAAAAAAAGAUUUAGAAAGUUAUUUUCAAAACCAAAAGGGAGAAAUAGGAGGUGGCAUGUGGCCCAAAGGUGGCCAUGCGGAGGUGGCCAUGCAAAAACAUUUUCUUCUGGGCCAAGGGAGAGACUGCGCUAUAGGGAUCAAUGGUAUUGUUGGGCUUGUCAUAACUCUAACCAGGAUAGGAUCCCAGCCACAUAUAGCUGUAACUAGGUUGCUACAUUGAAAGAGUACCAAGAGAGGCACCCUAGCUUAACGGAGGUCAGGCCUGGUAGCCUUGCGGAGGAUAUCUCUAACCAUUGCCAGAUUUCUGAUAUGAUUCUCACUGAUGACUUCGUUGACCAACUGUUCAGCAAACUCAAUCUGUUCACUGGUACUGCCUAUGUGUGCAAUUCUCUCCAUUGAUAUGUCACCAGAAAGGAAAUGCAAAAGUAUAAACUAGAUACGAGCUCCUGUCUUGGCUUGCAUAUUUCUAAUGAUCUCACCGCCCUUACCAACUAUCAGACCAACCUUGUUGUUUGGUACUUUCAUCACGAGCUGUCCAAACCCAGUCCAACCAAUUAACCUUCAAGAAAUUAUGCCAAACCUCUUUGCUUAUAUCUGUUGUGUCAUUCCAUAAGAAUUGAACGCACCCAUAUGUAAGCACCCGUGAUGUGUCGUCACACUCCAACUGCAAAUUAAAUCGAACAAGACCUUUCAUGGAAGCAUCUCUGACAUCUAAAUGAGACCCUGUCAAACCUUGAAUUAUCUGGAGUUCAUCAAGUGCAUCAUCAAAUGCUCUUCAUUCAGAGUGUCCAACUUAGCAAUAGCUUCAUCAAAAACCUAUUUAUCCAGAUUACAAGCAUGAUCCAGGGGAUUCAGAAUCUUAUAGUAAAAGACGGAGAAGUUAAGUGCAAGCCUCAAGCAGAUAAGACGGGUUGAAGCCAAUUCCACAGCUGCAAUAUCCUACGCUGAUUUUAUAAGCUACGAGAGUGCUCUCCGUCGCCUCUCUCAUCUCGGCUCCGGUCUUGAAUGCUGAUAGAUAACAACGAUAAUCGCUCUUCAUCUUUAAACAAAGCGACUUUGGGUCACUAGCCAUAGCCGAAUGAAUAAGCUACGAAUCCAGCAGACGAAGAGUAUCGUCACAGAUGGAGGAUUGUUGAAACAUAACACGCAUAUAAUGGAAACAGACUCGUGUUGGCUCCUGCCCGCUCCCAAUGGGUAUGGCCCUCAUGCUCAUUGACAUGUUCGAAGACGUCAACAAGCGCACCAUAGACCUUCUGUAGGCAGAGGAUUGGGUUUAAUGGGUUUAGAAAGAAUUUGUGGCAUGUAUGGGUAUGGAAAUAGGUGUGAAUGAUAGCCUUGCAUGCAUGAGGAGUGGUGAAUAGGUUGAAGAGAGUGGGUUUAGAGGAUAGAAAUAUGGGUAUAGUUGUGGGUUUAGAAAAUGGGUACAGUAUUAGUGGGACGGGUAGUGGAAAAAUGGAUUGGAAGGCAUUGGAAAAUGAGGUCUCUAUGGUGGCCAUGCAUGCGUCAAAAAAUAGAAAGGAGUGCAUGGAGGUUAAAUGGAAGGAUGAAUGAUGGAAGUAGCAGCUUGGGUAGGUGUAAGCUUUGGAUUUGGGUAGGUAAAAAAAAUGAGAGAUAGGUAUGAGAUAGCCAAUGAGAGAUCUGCACCAUUUGGCAUUGUGAUCGCUCGGUUUUUGUCGUUUAUUGGAUCAAAACAAAAUUUAUAACCUAAUUCACUAUUCUAUAGCAAUUUGUACUCGAUCAAAAAAUGGUUUUAGUACAAACUACUAUAGUAUAGUGGUAUUUAGGUAUCGUCCACAAGGAUGGAUUAUUCUCGGUAAUUAAGGCUUGAAUGAGAUGAUAAGAAAUGAUUGUGAUCAAGUGAAAUUGACUUGAAAUUGCAUGAUAAAAUUCCAAAAUAACAAUGUAUUCAAAUUGAGAGAAAAAUGAAGUGUAAAAGAGAAGAAAAUUAAUAAGAGGUGAGAUUCUCGGAGUUAGGAUUUUCUAGAAAGCAAUUUCCAUGGCGAAUAAGUGUUGAGAUCUAAUUUUCAUCAAGUUAAAUUGAAAACCUAAAUUUUCAUCUAAACCGAUUUUUGAUUUAGCUUUAGGUCUAGAUAUAAUUUCUCUUCAAAUUAGGUAAUCUAAUCCAAGAGAUCAAUUUGAAUCAUAUAUUCAAUUCAUCUUAAAUUAUCUCCUUAUGAUUCACACGAUGCAACUAUUCAAUCUCAUUAAAUUUAGCAUUAAGAAUUUAAUGAAUCUACCUAGCUUGCAUUGUAGUAAUCAUCCAAGACAAUUUAAAGAGAAGAAUCCCCAAAUUUCAAUUAAUCAAUCAAUUGGAUCAAAUUACCUUUGCAAUUCAAGCUCAAUUCUCUCAUUCACCAUAGAUCUUGUCUCUAGAUUCUCCCUCCUCUGAGAAAAACAAGAUUUAGCCACUCAUGCUUGGAGAUUUGAUCUCAUAAGACAUGUUUGGCUACCAAGAAAAUGAGAGAAAAUGAAGGAAAGUAGAGAAUUAUAUAGAGAAAAGAAAUCUGAAAAGUUCUACAAUUAGAAAAUGUAUCAAAAGUCUUUAAAUGAGUCAAUCACAUUUUUAUUUAUAGGCCAAGGUCAAGAUGACACUUGGCAACAUCUAAGAGGUCUUUCGGAUGCUUCUUCAUCAAGGAAUUUGGAGAAAAUACAUUUUCGCACGAGCCUUAGCAAUUUCGCAUGAUGGUGCGAAGUGGAAAACCAUCAGCUUCAUUUUUGUCUUUCUGGAGCGUUUCGCAUGACUGUACAAAAUUUUCGCAUGGUUGUGCGAAAUUGCUUUUCACUUUUCCCUUAGUAUGCUACAGCCAAACCUAUUCUGUUUCAUUUCACAUGGUCAUGCGAAAUUGAAAAACAUGUUUUUUCGACUCCUCUUUGCAAUUCUUUCCAUUUCUUCAUUUUUAAUCCACCUCUACCACUUUCAAUUCAACUCCAAAUCCCAAUCCAAACCGAUUGCAUUGCUUAUUUCAUUAUGCAUUUGGAUCAUCAUCAACUUUAUUUGUUUUCUUCAAUUUGGUUCAUCUCUUUUGUCACCAAUUUAUCAAAAUCAUACCUUAAAAUGACUUUAAAACUUCAUAAAACUUGUUAGUAACUAUUGCAAGGGCAAAAACAUGUUAAUUGAGUGUUUUAGGCAUAAUUACUACUCAAAAGAUGUGAAAAUCAUGAGAAUUAUUAUCUAAAAUAUGCUCUUUUUGAGUAGUAAUCAUUCCCCCCAACCAACACAUUGCUAGUCCCUUAGCAAUUGUAUGACAAAAAGAAAGAAAAAUAAGGCCAAAGAAAAGAAAUCAUAACUCACAUAAGCAAAUCAUUUGAAAAAAAAAAUGUUUGAAAUUUCCAUAGCAUAAAUGGUUGAUAAACAAGCACACCCUACUAUCCAUAGGUAUCAACAAAAUCCCAACUUAUUUACUAUCUCUAAUAGAAAUAAUAUCAUGCUAAUCAAGGUAUCAAAAACAUAUCCAUCUUCAUUUCCCAAACAAUCUUUGUAAACAAGUCUUGAGUGUAAUUAAGCUAGCUCCCGAAUAUAGUACUCAAAACUAAUCCUCCCCCCAACCUAGCUCAAUUUAUCUCAAACAACAAAAAUCACUCUCUCAUAGGUUAAGAACACACCUAUCUUUAUUUUAUUAUUAUUUUUUUUACAAAUGACUUAUUGUAGGAGUGCAAUGCUAAAGGUAUCUCCAAGUAUAUGGUCCAUGUAGCGGGGAUUCAUCGAUGACUCCCAAUCAUAAGGCAUAGGGCACCAAGUUUAUAGGACUAUUUAACUAGCCACUAACUCCUCAGACUUCACCCCGGACUCCUCAAAUUAGGAUCCAAUACAUUAACACCUACAAUUGAGUUCAUACCCCACCUAUCCACCCAUGUAACAAGCAUUGAGGUCGGUGGCUCCCAACCAAAAUGGCUUAGGGCACCAGGCUUUAAAGACCUUUGGGCCAUAUACCCCUCGGACCUUGCUCAGGUUUCAAGGCAAGCAUAACUCAACAUUUUUAUUCAUCAACUCUUUUUUUUUUUUUUUUUUCAAUUGGGCACAUUGGCCUCUUUUUAAGGUGUCUCAACUCAGUUCAAGAGUAAUCAAUGUUACAAGAUAAUUAAGUCUAAGUCUUAAGGUUAGAAUAGUUUUUCAUCUUAUAUCUGGGGUCUAGAGUGCAUAGUAUGUGUCAAGACUCAAAUAGAAAUGACAAUUUGGAAAAUGAAGACUUUAAAGUCAAAUCAACUUUAAUUCACAUAACCAAUCUUCUAAGAUCAAGCAAAUAAGCUAGUAUUCUAAAUCAACUUUUUUUAAGUUAGGUUUGCUCAUUCAUCAAUCACAAAUGCUAUAGUCAUCUCAAAAAAAUCUCACCAAAUAAGUCACAAAUGUGAUUUAUGAAAAAAAAAAAUUAUAGAAAAACUAAUAACAUAUUUCCUUCUCUUCAUUUUUAACCCUCCCCCAACCUAACUUGUACAUUGUCCUCAAUGUGUAAUGAAAAUAUACAAAGAAAGGAAGGAAAGAUACCUCAAUCUCUCAUGAAUUUCAGUUUCAAUAGCUAAAACAAAAAUAAGAUCACACAUGAGAAUUGUUGGAUAUGAAUGACAUAAGAGAAGAAAAUAUGAAAACAAAUCUAUUAAAAACCAAAAAAAAAAAACUAUGUUAGAGACACAAUGUAUGGAGUAAAAUCAAGGUAUAGAUGAUGACAAUGUCCAAAGAAAACAUGAUUUCAAUGAUAAGUCAAUGAUUCUCAUGGAGUUUUUGAAAAUUUCAGACAAGUGUGCAAACUAGACAAGAAGGUGGUGUGUGUUGCAACCACUUUUUCUUUUGAAAUAAUUUGGCACAAUCAUGCGGAAAUUCGCAUGUACAUGCGAAUUGGUCAAGAGAGCUUUAUCUUAUUAUAGUCUUCAGCAUAAUUUUCGCAUAGUCAUGUGAAAAUUCGCAUGUUGAUGCGAAAUGGAUCUGAGGCUUAAAACUGUUGUAGUCAUCCACAUUAGUUUCGCACAGUCAUGCGAAAACUUCACAUGAGUGUGUGAAGUGGUCCAGAUGGCUCAUUUUACUACAGUCUUUAAGAUGGAUUUCGCAUAGUCAUGCGAAAUGCUCUAGAGGGUUCAUUUUUACAACUAUCAUUUUCAGUUUUGCACAGUCAUGCGAAAAUUUUGCAUGACCAUGCGAAUUGUGACAAAGACUCAUUUUGUACAUUUCCGAAGAUAUGAAAACUCCCCUAUUUUGGCAUGACUGUGUUAUUUUGGCAUGACCUCCCUGUUUUGGCAUGACUAUGCAAAAUGGUGAUGGGCCAUUAAAACUCUUUUUUCCUUUGCUUCAUGCAUUCCAUCCAUCCAGAAAGUCCUUCAAAACACAAGUCAAAGAAUUGAGAUGGAUUUAUUUAAUGGAAACUAAAAAAAAAAUCAAAAUCCAAAGGAAAUGAUAAACCAUUGGGCUAGCUAGCCAUUGACAUGACUAAGCCCAUUAACCUUUGCAUCAAUACUCAAUUUGGAUAUGGCUUGCAAACAAUGAAUGGACCAACUCCUUGGUACUUAAGCUUUCCCAGAAAAAUAUGUGGCUUGAAAUAACCUUCUUUGAACUUGUUCUUUUGAAUAAGUUGGUCAUGCCAUUCCUUGAGUUUCUUUUUCAUGGUCUUUGGAUUAUUUUUCAUACCAUGCUUCAUUUUUUUCACUUUCUUGAAGCUGAAAGACCAUUUCAUUAACUUCAAAGGUUGAAUUUCUUUAUUGAUCCUCCAAACUUCAAUCCGUUCAUUGGAAAUUGCUUCACUAAGUUUUGAAAAAUUAUCUUCAACCUUUUCUUUCACUAGCACUUUCAUAGGCAAUUCAAUCAAAUAAGCCUCCUUAAGUUCCUCCUCCUCCUUGGUACCAUGCUUCUUAUAUGAAUGAAAAAUGUUUAGCUCAAUUGUCAUGUUACCAAAGGUAAGUUGCAUCACCCCACUUCGACAAUUAAUUAAUGCAUUUGCUGUGGCAAGGAAAGGUCGGCCAAGUAUAAUAGGAACAUGGUUGAGUCCACUAGUUCCUUGUUUCAUAUCAAGCACCACAAAAUCAACCGGAUAAUAGAAGAUAUCGAUUUGGAUCAACAUAUCCUCAAUAAUUCCUCUUGGAAACUUAACCGAUCUAUCCGCCAAUGAAAGUGUGAUGGAAGUAGACUUUAGUUCUCCAAACCCCAAUUGCUUAUAUACCGAGUAGGGAAGAAGAUUCACACUUGCCCCCAAGUCUAAAAGUGCUCUUUUCACAAAAGUGUUGUCAAUCUUCACCGAGAUAGUUGGACAUCCCGGAUCCUUAUACUUGAUUGGGGUUUUACAUUGGAUGAUUGCACUAACUUGUUCAGUCAAGAAAGUUUUCUUUUUCAAAUGCAUCCCUCUCUUUAUGGUACACAAAUCCUUAAGAAACUUGGCAUAGGUUGGAAGUCUUAUCAUGUCAAGGAGUGGUAUAUUGACUUUGACUUGCUUGAGAACUUCAAAAAUUUCUAGAGCAUUAUUUACCACUUUCUUGGAUUGAAGAGCCAUAGGAAAAGGUGGAGCUAAGAGCAUAUCUUUCUUCUUAACCUCUUCUUUAACAAUCUCAUCUUCCUUUGAUCUAUCAUCCUCAUUCACCUCUUUCCAUUUUUCUUGUUCUUUCACAUUUUCCUUUUGUUCCCCUCUUUUAUUCUCUUUUGGUUUUGGCAUAGGUUGAUCAACUUGCUUACCACCUCUUAAGGUAAUGACUGCUUUGACUUCAUCCUUCUCAAUAGAACUUUCACUUGUCUCUCCAAUUUCAUGGACUCCACUUGGAUUUUGUUGGGGUUAUGAAGAGAAUUUUCCUUUUUCUUACACUGUAUGCAUGCUUGUGAGUUUAGAAAUAGCAAGCUGCAUAUUAUCAAUCUUUUGUGUGAGAUUGGUUUGCAAGCUAUCAAAUUUCUGAUUGAAAGAUGUCUCCACAUGAUCUAUUCUUUGGUUUACUUGAAUAUUGAUAUUCUUUUGAUCACCAAUAAAAUCACCCAAAAUUUUACUCAAGCUUACAAUAGCUUGCUCAACCAAAGAAAUUUGUUGUGGAGAGUCUUCCAUGACUUGUUGGCUUUGUGAGUAUUGACUUGAAGAAAAUUGUUCUUGUCCACAAUUCCAUGACAUGUUUAGAUGAUUCUCAACAAGUCUUUCCCCCAUAGCUAGUAUUGUAGGACAAUCACUCACUUCAUGUUCUAUAGAUUGACAAUUAGAACAUUGCUCCUUGUAAAUUGGAUUAUCAUAUAUUGCAUUCACCACAUGAAAUCCCUUAGCUUCAAGUUCCUCUAGCCUUUUUGUCAAAGCUACCAUUUUAGCUUGUAGAUCAACAUCUUCAUUCAACAUAUACAUUCCUCCAUUUGAAUUGCUUUGAGACUUGGACUUGUGUAAAUCCCUUUCAUGUGGCUCAUUCCAUGACCUUAAUAUUUUAGCCACAUAAUUCAAGAAUUCAAAAGCUUCAUCGGGACUUUUGCUCAUAAAGCCACCUCCACACAUGGUUUCUAGCAAUUGCUUCAUAGUUGGCGACAUGCCCUCAAGAAGUAACUCACCAACAUCCAUGUGUCAAAACCAUGAUGAGGACAAACAUUGAUUACUUCCAUAUAUCUUUCCCAACAAGCAUAAAAUUUUUCAUUGUCCAAUGCCACAAAGUUGGUAAUUUGCCUCUUCAAGCCACUUGUGCGAUGUAUGGGGAAAAUUUUCUUUAAGAAGGUUGUUUGUAGUUCCAACCAUGACCUUAUGGUUUGGGGCCCCAAUGAGUUGAACCACAACUUAGCCUUAUCCUUCAAUGUGAAUGGAAAAAGCUUCAAUCUCAUAAGCUCAAUGGAUGUGUUUCCCUCAUGAAAUGUAUGAAAAACCUCUUCAAAAUCCUUGAUGUGAGUAUAAAGAUUCUCAUUCUCCAUUCCAUGAAAUUGAGGUAGAAGGGGUACCAAGUGAGUUUUUAUCACAAUAGCCUCAUUAGGAAGAACUAUACAUGAUCCCAUGCCUAUCCUUUGAGGAUGCAUAUAUUCUCUCAUUGAUCUAGACAUGUGAGAAUUGCCAUUGUUUGGUCCUUGUUGAGUUUGUUGAUUUUCCCCUUGAUUUUCCAUUUCCUCAACAAUUGGAUCACAAAACAAAGAUGAUUAGCAAUAUAAGUUUUUUUUCAAUCUCUCCCUUGAAUUUUAUUCUCAAUGUAGUAUGCAAUGGAGAGCCUACAAAACAAGCUUAGAAAAACCAAAACAAACCAAGAAGAACAAAAAGAGAAAUAAAAGAUAAAAAUGGAAAAAAAAAUAAUAAUAAGAAAAAUGGAGAAUCGAUAAAGAGAACUUCACCAAUCUUGUGAUGUGGAUCACAAGGGCUAAUCCUCACCAAAAAAAAAAAUGCCUCAAUCACCUAGGCACCAUCCCCGGCAACAGUGCCAUUUUUGAUUGCUCGGUUUUUGUCGUUUAUUAGAUCAAAACAAAAUUUAUAACCUAAUUCACUAUUCUAUAGAAAUUUGUACCCAAUCAAAAAAUGGUUUUAGUACAAACUACUGUAGUAUAGUGGUAUUUAGGUAUCAUCCACAAGGAUGAAUAUUCUUGGUAAUUAAGGAUUGAAUGAGAUGAUAAGAAAUGAUUGUGAUCAAGUGAAAUUGACUUGAAAUUGCAUGAUAAAAUUCCAAAAUAACAAUGUAUUCAAAUUGAGAGAAAAAUAAAGUGUAAAAGAGAAGAAAAUUAAUAAGAGGUGAGAUUCUCGAAGUUAGGAUUUUCUAGAAAGCAAUUUCCAUGGUGAAUAGGUGUUGAGAUAUAAUUUUCAUCAAGUUAGAUUGAAAACCUAAAUUUUCAUCUAAACCGAUUUUUUAUUUAGCUUUAGGUCUAGAUCUAAUUUCUCUUCAAAUUAGGUAAUCUAAUCUAAGAGAUCAAUUUGAAUCAUAUAUUCAAUUCAUCUUAAAUUAUCUUCCUAUUAUUCACAUGACGCAACUAUUCAAUCUCAUUAAAUCUAGCAUUAAGAAUUUAAUGAAUCUACCUAGCUUGCAUUGUAGUAAUCAUCCAAGACAAUUUGAAGAGAAAAAUCCCCAAAUUUCAAUUAAUCAAUCAAUUGGAUCAAAUUACAUUUGCAAUUCAAGCUCAAUUCUCUCAUUCACCAUAGAUCUUGUCUCUAGAUUCUCCCUUCUCCGAGAAAAACGAGAUUUAGCCACUCAUUCUUGGAGAUUUGAUCUCACAAGACAUGUUUGGCUACCGAGAAAAUGAGGGAAAAUGAAGGAAAUUAGAGAAUUAUAUGAGAAAAGAAAUCUGAAAAGUUCUACAAUUAGAAAAUGUAUCAAAAGUCUUUAAAUGAGUCAAUCACGUUUCUAUUUAUAGGCCAAGGUCAAGAUGACACUUGGCAACAUCUAAGAGGUCUUCCGAAUGCUUCUUCAUUAAGGAAUCUGGAGAAAAUACAUUUUCGCACGAGCCUUAGCAAUUUCGCAUGAUGGUGCGAAGUGGAAAAUCCAUCAGCUUAUUUUUUGUCUUUCUGGAGCGUUUUGCAUGACUGUGCGAAAUUUUUGCAUGGUCAUACAAAAUUGCUUUUUACUUUUCCCUUAGUAUGCUGCAGCCAAGCCUAUUCUAUUUCAUUUCGCAUGACUAUGCGAAAUUGAAAAACAUGUUUUUUCGACUCCUCUUUGCAAUUCUUCCCAUUUCUUCAUUUUUAAUCCACCUCUACCACCUUCAAUUUAGCUCCAAAUCCCAAUCCAAACUAAUUGCAUUGCUUCUUUCAUUAUGCAUUUGGAUCAUCAUUAACUUUAUUUGUUUUCUUCAAUUUGAUUCAUCUCUUUUGUCACCAAUUUAUCAAAAUCAUACCUUAAAAUGACUCCAAAACUUCAUAAAACUUGUUAGUAACUAUUGCAAGGGCAAAAACAUGUUAAUUGAGUGUUUUAGGCAUAAUUACUACUCAAAAGAUGUGAAACUCAUGAGAAUUAUUAUCUAAAAUAUGCUCUUUUUGAGUAGUAAUCACAUUGCAACACCCUUAUUUUGUUAUACCCAUUUGUAUGCUUAUCCUUUACAUAAGGAGCUUGUCUGACACCUUUAUAGAAGCGGACAAAAAGCAUGGCUUGCUUGUAGAUCCAGUGCAACUUUCAGUAACACCCAACCCCUAUCAUUUUGACCCAAAAGGAUCUAUACCUAUGAUCAUUGAACUCAUUCCAUUUUGAGAACAAUCUUCAUGAACUCAUAAACGAAAUAACUUAUUGAAACUGAAGGUAGCACCUGUGGUAAGCCGAUUUCAAUAUAUCAUGCACACCAUAGAAAAUUGCACCUGAAGGUGCCAUACUUAUAGUGGAAGGCACCAAACCCUUGUAAAUGGAGAAGAAUCCUUCAGUUCGGAUCAUAUGGAGGAAAUGCCAAUAACACUACCCAAGGCUUUACCACCCGGUGCCACCAUCUUGGUCUGGAUUUAACAUGGUACCCAAUAGUAAGCGGAGUAUGGUAGUAGUAAUUCUAGCUGCAUCACCAGCAAUUGUCUUAAUUAGCUCAAAUAUAUGCUUCUGUUCACCAUGAACUAUAUAUUCCAGCUUUAGUCUCCUUUGAUUGCAUAUCAUUUCCUCCACAAAACUUUCGUUUACUAUCAUCAAACUGCCAUCCUAUACCACAAUGGUCCCAUCAACCCUACUGACCAUCCAAAUGUCAUUAAAUGAGCUAGAAGCUGGGGACUCUCAACAGCAAGAGCACCUUGAGGUUGAAUGAAUUUAGAAUAACCCACUGAAAACUCUUAUAUAGCUUCUUUAGGUGGAGAUGAGGAAGGAGAAUAGCCAAAAUAGAGCACAACAGAGUGAGCAAAGCAUUAAGUGGGAUCCCCCUUUCAUAUUGAAAUCAAGGGGUUCCAGCCAGUGGUGCAACAGGAGAGUUUAAAACAAAGAUCCAAAUGAGAGCAUCAAUAAACUCCCACCAUGGGAGUGAGCCAUAUUCAAAAAAACAAAUAUAAGAGAAAAGUAAUGCAUCAUCACAUACCCAGACAAUCGUCCAAUGCUUAGAAAAAAAAAAAAACCAAAACAACCAGAGAAGAUGGAAGAUAAAGAAAACAGAGUGAUGAGUGAAAAUAAUCCAAAAAGCUAUAUCAAAUGUACCUAGAAAUGCUCUUUCCAAUUUUCUUUUCUUCCCAACUACCUUCAGCAAACUAGAUUUGCUUUCUCUCCUCUGCUCCUAAUCAAACUACACCCUCAAGCAAUCUGAAAAAUGCAAUCCUCUCUCUCACAACCUCAGCGCACCAACCAUCUCUACUUCUCUCAUUGUUGCUCCAACUCCUUACAAAAAUAUCCCCUCUUUGUCUCUCCUCCCAAGCUCUUUCUCUCUCUCUCUCUCUCACUUCUCCUCAGCUAUGCUCUCUCAAUCCCUCUAAAAAAAAACAUCCUUCUCUCGCUCCUCUGUAACCUCAAACUUUUCUCUCAAGCUAAAGGAAACUUCUCCCCCCGAUAUCUCCUCUCCUCCCUAGCAACCAAAAAUACCCCUCCUCUGCCAGAAUGCCUCACCUUCUCUCUCCUACGCUCCUCCAUAACGGCCUGAAGAUUCUUAUGCCAUGCAUCAGCCGCUGAUUGCCUUCAGAAAAGAUCACUGCCUAUCCAUCCUCUCAUGCACAUGUUGCCAAAAAUAAAAAAAGGUGGUAAAGAAUGCUCCCUAAAAUGCCCUUACCUAUAAACCAAAACGAGGGUUUUACAGGCGCACAAUAUUUGUGGAAAAAUAUUCUUUGCUGAAGAAUAUUUUUUAAAGAUCAAUUGAAAGCCUAAAGCAGCUUGUUCCCAAAUGAAUUUAUUGAAUGGUGAAAAACACGUGUGUUGCGAUUUUUUGGAUUUGUAGGGGGUAUUUUAUAAAGCUUUUUUCUCUUUGUGAAACUCCUUUUCAUAUGUGAAAUUGUUUUAUUUUUAUUUUAUCAUUUUCAUUGAAGGAAGUUGCAAAUAUUUAUAGAUAAAAUUUUAAAAAAUAAAUUUAGAAUUUCUAAGAUUUGAUUACUUAAUUAAAAAAAAAAAUUGGUUUCUUGAUUUUAGCAACUUGUCUUCUUCAUUAAGGAAGUUUGCUAACAAGAGAAUAUUUACUUCUCAUUUUAUUUUGACUUCAAUUGGAAGACUUGUUUCAUUUGUUUACAAAAUUUUCCAACAAGAAAAUAUUUAUUUCUAAUUCUCUUUUGAUUUCAAUUGUUUGAUUUGAUUUGAUUUUGCAAGACUUUAUUUUAUAGCCUUCCAAAUUUCACUACGUGUCAUUUUUUGAAUUGAAUGCCACAUGCUCAAUAUAUAUGACUCAUCACUUAUUAAGCCUGAGUUUUGUUGAGCUAAAGAGUUACAAUUUUGAAGACUAAUUUGGUAGUAUUUUAAUCCACUAAAAUUUUUUGUCUACAAAUGCCCCCUCUUCAAAAUAGAUCACACACAUGCAUUGUAAUGUAUAAGAGGUGAGUCUUGAAGUUAGCCUUUUGAAUCUUCAAUAUCCUUCUUUGAUUUUUUUUUUCGAAGAAAUAUUUUAAUAGGAAUUUCCUAUUCAAAAUACUUUUCUUCAACUUUUUUCGAACAUUGCUUUAUUUAUUUAUUUUUUUUCUACCUCGUAUCAAAGAAAAACCUUGUGUUAAUGGGAAAGCUUCUUAUUUGAACAUCUAUUGUCUUUUCUCAUGGUAUUUCACUUCCAAUUUGUCAACCUAGAAGAAGUCCUUCACCCUAGCUUGUUCAAUUGCAUCUUAGACUUGGUCACAUGCCUUUAACUUGCAAUUCUUCCUCCACUUUGUCUUUUUCUUUUUUAUUUGUUUAAAAAAUAGUACAAAAUAUUUGAGCAAGACCAUAAGCAAGAGAAGAGAGGUGGUGAAUGGAGCACCAACUAACCUUAGGUCAAGAUCUUGAGCAAGAGAAGUAAGGUGGAGCGUAGAGCACAAACUUCUCUAGAGCAUGGUAGGCAUACCAUCAUGGAGUUGUCUUCUGCAUGGAGCAUGGUAGGGCAUUAUAUAUAUGAUAGGGUGGGCCAUUAUGUAACAAUGAAGAACAAAAAUCCAUGGUGUACAAUUGGGAACAACAAUUCAUGCUAUCAAGCUUCAACCUUUUUUUUUUUGUUUUUUUUUUAAUCCCUAUCUCCACCCCCCGACCCAAUAUUUUUUCAAGUUUCCAGAUUCCUUUUGAUUCUUUCUCAUUUUAUUUUUUUCAACUCUUUUUUUUCCUCCCUUUUUAACCAUUGUUUUUAAGGAAGAAAUAGAUUCACCAUCCCUUACCACAAGGUCAAUCUCCAUUGCUUGCAAAGACAAAUUUGCUUUUUGGUGUUUUUUUUCUUCAAAAAUUAUCUUAACAUUUUAAGAUAUAUAUAUAUAGAUAUAGAUAUUUAAAAAACUUAAAUAUCCAUAAUAAAAAUAAAUAUUUAAGGCUCUUGACUUGUUUAAAUUGGCUUGACUUGGAUACUUAGCGGGACCAUACUUAACACCCAUGUAGAUGAGCUAUAAUCUUGAUGGUAGGUUGUGUUGUAUUUUUUGACAUUUAAUGUGGCUUAAGAGUUAAAGUCUUCACUCAUGCAAAUUAGCUUGGUUUGGAUGCACAAUGGUCUCUAACUUCUUAAUGCUUAAUUAAACUUGGAACCAUAUUUAACACCCAUGUAGACAAGUCAUAAUCAUGACAUGGAGCACUAUUUUAUUUUAACUCUUAAUGCAACUUAAAUAUUAAAGUCUUCACUCAUACAAAUUAACUUGGGUUAGAUGCACAAUGGUGUUCAACUUGGUAAAAUUAAUUAAAAUUGAAACAUUUAACACCCAUGUAAACAAGUCAUAACUUUCACAUGGAACAGUGUUGUAUUUUUAGCUUAAUGUCGCUUAAGUGUUAAAGUCUUCACUGAUGUAAAUUAGCUUGGCUUAGAUGCAUAGUAGCAUUCAACUUUUUAACACUUAAUUUAAAUUCAUACCAUAUUGAAAACCCAUGUGGACAAGACAUAAUGAGAAAAUAAAUGGCUAAUCUAAAUAGAUAAAAAUACCUAACAAGGAAGGAGGGGGGUGAAUUGGAGUUUAAAAAAAAAAUAUAUUUUUAAACACAAUAAAAUUAAGUACAAGAAGCACAAAUAUAAAGAGAUAAGUUAUAGAAAUCAAACUCAGAUUUAUAGUGGUUCGACACUUCCUUGCCUACAUCCACUCUCCUCAAACUCCUAACCGAGUGAGGGUUCCACAUAUACUUGAAGCUUCAACCAAGCUUCUAAUCACUUUUUACACUUGGAUUUUAGCUCCAAUGGGCUCUUACACAUUCUCUUCAAGUCUCUACUCACUUGAAGAUUUUAACACACAAUUAACAGUUUGAAACUCUCAACCUAGCUCAACAAUGGCUCAAAUACAACUCAAGGCUAGGAUGAAUCACAAAGGUGCAUUAAAUAAUAUGCAAAUGAAGAUUUAAUGCACUGAGAAAAGAAUGAGAGCUUUUAUGGCAAGAACAAGUAGGUAAACAAAUCAAUGGAGGUGUUCUCUUACUCAUAAAUGAAGUGGAACUCUCAAUUUAUAGGUUUCUAAUCUCGGAAGCUAAAAAACCAAAAAGUAACCUCGAUUGGUCGAGUUAGGGGUCGACAGGUUCACUAGUCGUUAGAGCAUUAAAUGCGUGGCAGGUGAUCGUUACCCUCGACCGGACCUUGACUGGGAAGGCAAAUCUCUCAACUGGGAAAGAAAGGCUAUUGGAAGAGAGAAGGCUUUUUGCAUCUUUUGACUAGACCUCAACCGAGAAGGAGCAACUGAUCGACCAGUACCCUAGCCGGUUGAGCCGGUUGGCCAGUGCCUCAACCAAUUCACCAUUUUUUGGCCCUAAAACCUAUCUUUUUGUGGUCUUUUUUGCUUCUAACACUUAAACAAGGUCUUUAGGUAAAAUAAUAUGUCAAUUUUGAAACGCUUUGCCUAAGGUUCAUUUGAUAGAACUCGGAUUUUGAUGGAAAUGUGACUUUAAUGCGUAAACCGAGUUUUAAAAGAUGUAUGAAAUGAUAUGAAAAUUCUAAGUACACUCAUGCAUUCAUUUUACAUAGUUUUCUAUAAUUAAAAAGUCUUUCAAAAGUCUUGAUCUUGCAUCCAUUAGAUCAUUUGAUUAAUUUCCAAAUUAAUAUUUGAAAUUCUUUAUAAUUCAAACCAAUUAGUAACUUAACCAUGGUUUGUUAUCAUCAAAACAUGAUUAGGAGAACCCUUGGGCUAACACAUAACAUUGUAGCAAUGUUAUAUUUUUUACACUUAAUGCAGUUUAAGUUCUAAAAUCUUCAUUUCUAUGAAUUGGUUCACCUUGGAUGCAUAGUGGUGUCUAAAUUAUAAUACUUAAUUAAAAUUGAAACCAUAUUUAACACCCAUGUAGACAAGUCAUAACUUUGACAUGGAGUGGCAUUGCAUUUUUGACACUUAAUGCAACUUAGGUGCUAAACUUUUCACUCAUGAGAAUUGGUAUGGGUUGGAUGCAUGUGGUGUCGAACUUUUUAACACUUAAUUAAAAUUGGAACCAUAUUUAACACUAUCUAGAUAAGUCAUAACCUUGAUGUGAAGCGACAUUGUAUUUUCAACACUUAAAGCAACUUAGGUGCUAAAGUCUUCACCCAUGCAAAUUAGUUCAUCUUGGAUGUACAAUGGUGUCCCAUUUUUUAACAUAUAAUUAAAAUUGGAACCAUAUUUGACACUCAUGUAGACAAGUCUAGCCAUGAUGUAAAGUAGUGUUGUAUUUUUAAAACUUAAUGCAGCUUCAAUGGUAAAGUUUUUACUCAUGUGAAUUGGCUUGAUUUGGAUGCACAAUGAUGCCUAACUUUUUAACAUUUUAUUAAAUUUGGUAUCAUAUUUAACACCUAUGUAGACAAGUCAUAACCUUAAUGUAGAGGUGCUGUAAUAUUUUUGGUACUUAAUGCCGCUCAAGUGCUAAAGUCUUCACUCAUGUGAAUUUUUUUGGUUGAGAUGGACGUCUCUAACAUUUUAACAUUUAAUUAAAAUCAGAAUCAUAUUUAACACUCAUGUAAAAAAGUCAUAACCUUGACACAUAGUAAUAUGCAAUGUUUUAACAUUUAAUAUGACUUAAGUGCUAAAGUUUUCACUCAUGUGAAUUGGCUUGGCUUGGAUGCAUAAUGGUGUCUAACAUUUUAACACUGAAAUUAAAAUUAGAGUUAUAUUUAAUAAUCAUGUAGACAAGUCAUAACCUUGACGAGAAGCAAUAUUGUCAUUUUGACACUUAAUAUUGCUUAAAUGCUAAAGGCUUCACUCAUGCAUAUUGACUUAGCUUGGAUGAACAAUGGUAGCUAACUUUUUAACACUUCAUUAAAUUUGGAUUAUGGUUAACAUCCAUGUAGAAGAGUGAUAAACUUGAUGCAAAGUGAUGUUAUAUUUUUGGUACUUAAUAUAGCUUAAAUACGAAAAUCUUCACUUCUAAUAAUUAACUUGGCUUGGAUGCAUAGUGGUGUCCUACUUUUUAACUCUUAAUUGAAAGUGAAAUCAUAUUUAACAUCCAUUUUAUGCUAGUCAUAAACUUGAUAUAGAGCAAUGUGCAACUUUUUAACAUUUAAUGCAACUUAGGUGCUAAAGUCUUUACUCAUAUGAAUUAACUAAACUUAGAUGCAUAUUCGUUUCCAACUUUUUUAAUACCUAAUUAAAAUUAAAACCAUAUUUAAAAACCAUGUAGACAAAGGCAUAAUCUUAACAUGGAGCAGUGUAUAACUUUUAGCACUUAAUUAAAAUUGGGAUUAUACUUCACAACCACAUAUUCCUCCUCCUAUUUUUCAAUUUUUUCUUGUGGUGAUGAUUGAACUCAACUAGUUUGUCCAAGUUACCUGCAUACCUUAACAGAGAGGGGAUCAAGUCAAACUUAGUUCAAAGUAUUUUUUUAAUAUCUAACUUUUGCCAAGGCUAAUGAUUUUAAUCUUGAAAGCUUGUCUUAACUUUUGACUAUAUAUGUAGUGUUUUCAAGUUUCAAUUUAGCGACCUAUGAAUUGUACAAAUUGAAAAUGACUUCACUCAUGUGUAAAAAUAAAAGAUAUUCAUUCAUAGUUUUAGGGCAACGAAAAGUAAUCGACCCUUUUUUGCAUUAUUAUUAUUAUUGUUGUUGUUAUUAUUAUAAUUAUUAUAUUACCUUAAAAAAAAGACCUUCUCCAAAAAAUUUAAUCUACAAGUACUUGGAUUCUAUUUGAAUAUAAAAAGAGCCACUCAUAUGCAUGAAUUAAAUAUAUGUCCCAUGGAUAAGUUGUACUUAGCCACGGCUGAAGCUUUCCAUUAUGACUUGAAGGGAAAAAAAAAGAGAGGAGAAUAAUGUCAUUAAAAAACUGAUUGCCAUGUGCCUAUGCCUGCCAGUAGAUGGCUGAAAACUAGUUCUAUUCUUUUGUUUUUGCCUCUACUAAUGAACCAUAAUUGAGAGAUUCAUUGGCAACUAUCGUAUAAACAAUGGUUCAUAAAUUACUUUUAAAUUUUGAUAGCAAAGACUCAAAAUGUAAAACCAUAAAAAAUUUGUUCUAUUCCCAAAUUUUUUUAAAUAAUAAAUUAAUGCACAUGACUGUUUUCACAUCUUAUUCUCAUUUCUAUCAAUGCAAUAAUUGUAAUCAUCUUAUCUAUUAACAUGGCCUAGAGCCAUAGAGCUUCCUUUUCUUUAGUCCUAGAGCCAUUUCAGCUAAGAGUAGUCUUUCCUUAGCAUUUCCGGUCCAAAGCUUCCAUUUCUUUAGGCCUAGAGGCAUUUUCAGUCCAGAGCUGCUGUUUCUUUCGGCCUACAACCAUUUUCAGCCUGAAGCUGCCUUUCUUUAGCAUUUUCAGCCCAGAGCUACCUUUCCUUGGCAUAUCAGCCCAAAGCUUCUAUUUCUUUAGGCCUGGAGCCAUUUCAACAUACAACAUUGGUUUCUUUGGCCGGGCCUUGAGCCCUUUUCAACCCAGAACUGUCAUUUCUUCUAAAUAACUUCUCUUUUAAAAAACUUCAAUUUGUCUUUCCAAUAAAAAAAUUUAAGGCUUUGUUCUAGGUUUCAAGAAGCUGGCAUAGAAAAAAAAAAGGAAAAAAAAAAUUCUUGAUGGCAUAAAGUAGGACAUGGCCGGGAUAGUUUGAAAUACAUAAUUUUCCCCAUUCAAAUGCAAAACAUAUUAAAAGAACAUUUGGCAUGAUUUUAUGAAGUGAUUCUAUCUUUUCUAAUACUUCAAAGUUAUGAAGUGAUUCUAUCUUUUCUAAUACUUCAAAGAUAAAUUUUUUUGAAGUAUUAGAAAAAUUAGAAACAUUUCUUAAAAUCACUACCCUUAACUAUAUUUAGAUACUUUAACCAUUUCAAAUGCUACAUGUUGUUUCCUUCUACAUUUCCUCUUUAUUUUGUUUUUCUCUUACAUUUUUCCUCAAAUUUUCUAAAAACCAAACAUAACCUAAAAGAAAAGAUAAUUUGACUUAUUUUGAAAGUUCUUUAUAUAUAUAGUUUAUAUGGAAAAUUGUUUCAUGUUAAUUUAAUAAAGCAUUUAUAAUAUUGAGAUCGCUCUUUCAUAAUCAUAAAUUAACCUUUAGUUUCAACUUCUACAAGAGGCUAAAUGAAAAAAGCUAUCACAGAGGAGGCCUCAGCCAAUGAGUAAGAUGCACUGUUGUACCAAACAAUAGGUGGAAAAUACAAUUUUAUUAAGACUCUGAGACAAAAAAAAAAAAAAAAAGGAUGAUUUUACACUCAAAACAAGGAUUUAUUUAUAAUGAAGUGCAGUCUCCAUAUGCACAUGUGACUGCAUUUACAGCAUAAAGAAAGACAAGGAAAUUAACAAAUGUUGGACUCAUUGGAAAAUCAUACAAAUUAUUGAAGGAGGACCUUAGCUAAGCUAACUGUCUCCUAAAUUGCCCAUCUUUUAUAUAUAUUUGCAUUCAUCCGUCUCAUCAUCGUCUUUGAUUUUAGAUGGUGAGGAUGUGAAAGUAACAGGAAGCAGUGGACGAUUGUUCACUGUGAGGCUUAGCACAUCAGCUCUCGAAUAAUGUCCUACCACAUCGAACUGGAACUUUGCUUUAGGAAUCUCUCCACGAACAUCUGCAUAUCAAGUGAUCAUCAAAAUAUUUGAUCAGCCCUUUUAAAUAUCAGAGAGUAUCAAGUCUUCCAUAAAACCGUGUUUGCAGUCCUUUUAAACCUAAAGAAUUCACUCAUUUGCCUUAUCUGCAUACUGAAAUAUUUGGAUAUACAAUUGGAGAAGUUAGGGCCAUACCAAGAUCAGCUGUGAAGAGGCCUUCUCCUUCAUAAUUCGGUCCUGCUAGAAUUUCGCCAUGGGGCGAAAUGAUGACACUACCUCCUGCCCAAACAAUGGAAUCUGGAGUGACAUCUUCUUCUGUAGGACUGUAAAGAUACUCAGGUGGAGGUGGGUAAUCUUUCCUCCGACAGAACUGGAUGGGUGAAAGAACAUAGCAUCCACCCUCAAUAGCAACGUGUCUCAUUGUAGCUACCCAUGUAUCCCCGGAAUCGGCAGUAGGAGCACAAUAUAUCUCAAUACCUAUAGAGAUGUACAUUCGUAUUUUGUGAUCAAUCAAUCCCAUAUCAAAGCCAUAAUGUAUUUCAAGCCUAUUUAUAGGCUAAAACCCUAACAACUUAAAAAAGAGUACUGAAGUAUUUCAAGCCAAACCAUAUUAGUUAGUGAAGAAAAAGACAUACCUUUGCCAUACAUUGCUGUCCUUAGAAGCGGCAUUCUAUUUUCCCAACAAAUGACCGAACCAAGUUUUCCAUAUGGAGUGUCAUAAACUGGAGUUGUCGAGCAAUCUCCGAAACCCCAGACGAGCCGCUCCCAAUAUGUUGGCAUGAGUUUCCUAUGUUUUCCAAGGUAAUUACCUUUAGGAUCAAAGAAGAGAACAGUGCAAUACAAUGUGUAUCCCUCUCUCUCAAUAACACCUGUCACUAAGUAGACUCUGUAUUUCGCAGCCAUUGAUGCCAAUCUAUCAACUUCAGGUCCUGAAAAUACAUUAAUUUGAGAUUAAAGAUGAAACAUGUCAGCUGAAGGUUCAUCACAAAGCAGCAUAAGUAGAUUUUGUUUCAACAACUUAUUAAGUGGCUCAGUUCUUUAGCUAUUUAAGGGAGAAAAAGAGAGGUAAUUGACCCGGAACAUUAAUGGCAGAAGCAUGGUACUUGCGGAAACUUUCUUUCCCUCUUGGCGACCGGUCAGCGAAGUUAUAUCCUCGGGGAUACCCACCGAUAAAUGCUUCAGGAAACACAACCAGUUGGGAUCCCAGUGCAGCUGCUUCUUUCAAAAACCUCUCAGCCUUAUCUGCUCUCAAAAUCACAUUGCAAGAAGUAAAUUAAUUGGUUGAAUGGAGAGAAUGAAAAUUAACUUUUAAGAGAUCCCGAAUGACUUUUUGGUUGCUGAGAAAACUCAAGGAAAAACAGACCUAGAUGAAACUUGAAACUCUCAUAUUUUCAGCUGUUUUGUAACUAAGAAAAGAGAAACCACCUCAACUCAACUCAUCAAAAUAAUUGUAAAAGCAGUAAUUCCUUGAUUGGCAGCUGAAAAUAUGAUCAGGGUUCAAUCAUCCUUUUCUUUUUUUCAGUCUCUGAGAAACCAAUUAGAUCACAUAUUCCAUUACACAAGUUGCACAAUUGAAAGAAAUGGUACGUUACCUAGAGUGGCAGGAGUAUCAUAAAAGAUACUAGAAGCUUGAACAACGGUGGCUCUAACAGUUGAAGACAUUGCAGAAAAUUGUAUGUUUUUUCGUUUCCCCUUUGUUUGAGGAUUCCUCACACUGCGUUCAGUAUAUAUAUUGCCCAUGACAUUGUGGACCAGCCACUUGACUUAUACAAAUUGAAAAUGACUGAGUCAUCUGUGAAAAGCAAUUUAAGAUAACAUUCAAAAUUAAUAAGCUUUAAUUUUUAUUUAUAUAUAUAUAUACAUAAUCUACAAGUUGUUAUCAUUAUAUUUGAAUAAAAAGAGGGACCCGCCCACAUGCAUGGAUUCCAUCCAUCUAGCACACAGAUAAAUUGUCUUUAGUGGCGGCUGAGGCUUUCUAUGACUUAUACCAUAUAUCUAUACACCCCAGUAUAUAGCUAAAAACUGGGUAAUGUAUUGGCCCCUACCUAAAAUUAUUGAUUGAUUCAAUGACAGCUAUCUGAGAAAAAUAAAAAAGGGAGAACUAUUCUUACGCUUGCCUUGAUUUAAGCAAAUAUACUUUUAAUUAGGAAUUCUAAUUUUCAUAUUUUACCCCAAACAGAUAAUCAAUAAAAUUAUUCUCCAAAUAUGUAUUUUAAUAGCAACAAAAAUGAGAAUUCCAUAAUUAUCCCUUUUAAAAUCUUUAAUAUGACAAGUCGUAAUUUAAUGUGUUUGGUAGCUCUCCUUUUUCUUUUUUUCUCCUCUACAUCACUUUCUCCAUAUAAUGUCUUUGAUAUCCUCUCCAUAUCAUGUUGUUGAUAUCCUACCUUUGACAUUUUUUUUUAUCUAUGUGUUGAAGUGACUACACUUUUAGAUUUCUUUUCACUCUUUUAAUAUUUUCAUAUAUAUUUAUUAACUUUAAUAAAUUUUUGAAAACAUUAAACAUAAAAUUAUAAUAUAUGAUAAAUAAUUAAUGAUAACAAAUUAAAUAUAAAUAUAAGUAUGAAAUGGACAAAAAAUAAAAAAUUUAUCCUACAAAUAAUAGACUAUAUAGUUUAAAAUAUUAGUUAUAAUAAUAUAUUUGAUACUUUAGAGUUUAGAUUAAAAAAUUAUGUUUUAUUUUUUAGAGGUUAGCAUAUAAUAUUUCCAUUAAACAAAGAUUUUUUUAUAUGAAUCCUAAAUAAAAUGUUUAUUUAUUUUGCAAAUUCUUAUCAUAUGCGAUAUAUAUAUAUAUAUAUAUCAUGUUAUUUAUAAUUUUUAUUAUUUUGUGUCAAAAUCACAGUCAAUGAUGAUAAUUUUAGUUAGUAUAGAGCUCUUAAAAGGAUGAUAUGAUGUAACAAAUAUGAAGUUAUUAAUUAUUUACUGAUAUUCUGGUUUUACUUUUAUUAAUCCUUAUUCCAUACAUUAUAUUUUAUGAGCAUCCUAGUUUGACAUUUCUUAUACUAUACAUGGCUUAGGUGCAUUAGAAGUUGCACGGAAGAUCCAAGUUAUAGAUUCCUUUUUUAAUUCAAUAUUUUAAAAAAAAAAUUAUACUUUCAGUCAAUGUCUCAUAUUUCAAACACGUACACACUCUAGAAUUUCUCGAAUUGUAGUCUAGAAUGUCAACUUAGUGUUUGAUGAAAAAAGGUAUAAACAAAUAUAUGAAAAAAGUAAUCAACAAGCAUAGGAUUCUAUUUGAAUAAAAAAGAGCCACUUACAUGCAUUGAUAAAGGAAACUCCAACUCAGCUAGCAUACAAUCCAUGCCAAAGCAGAAUCUUUACGUAAGAAGUUGAUAAUGCAAUUUGCCAGGAAGGAAAACUACUCUCCAUAUUUGUAAUGUGGAAAAUCAAGGUUGGAAGGAAAUUUUCACUUACUUAUUCUGUAUAAUAUUCCCUUUUUUUUUUUUUUUUGUAAAGAAAGUAUGUAUUGUUUAUUUAUUUUUUAGAAAACAAUUAGUAAAGUGUGGUGCGAAUUCAACCUUUCAAAAAUAGUUUCUAUUCUUCAUGGUAUCGGAGCUAGUUAAUCUAAAACAAUCCAAAGCUUCCAUGGAAACCCCAGAAAAUGUUCUUAGCAUUCAGGCUUUUCAUCAAUGCUCGAGCCUCAUCUCCAUCAAACUGAAUAUGUCCAAUCUCCUUUUGUGGCACUCACAAGUUCUUCCUCUUGUGCGAAGCCUUGGAUUAGUCCAUCAUCUCUCUGAAAAUAGACACGCAUAAGAGGGGAUAAUGGAUAGUGAAACAAAGGAGACCUAUGAUUAGUCAAUAGAGACAUGGUCUCACAAUGAUGAUCUACUUACCUCCUGGCUUCUUGGACCCAUGACAGAAGAAGUGAUUCUUUUAUUGGAUGGAACAGAGAUUGCCUAUGAUGUUUGGAACUCUCUGGAAGAAAAACUCCUUCCAAUGACCAAAGAGAAGGAUAUGCAAUUGACCAAUAGACUCCGAGGGCUGAAGAAAGGCACAAGGUCCCUUGAUGAAUAUCUAAGGGAGUUCAAAGAAAUUUUUGAUGCAUUAGCUACAGUUAGAAAACCAGUAAGUGACCUAGACAAAGUUUUUCAACUAGCUCAAGGUCUCAUAACUAAAUACAUGGAUUUUCGGGUGGCCAUGUUAUCAAAGCCACCAUAUCCCUCUUACAAUCAAUUUGUUCUGGCUCUACAAGGGCAUGAACAAAUGAUUAUGAUAGAAAAUGAAGAGAACAAAGAGUCAAUAAACCAUGAACAAGCCUAUUUUACCCAAUGAGGAAGACGAAGAAAUCAAGGAGGAAGAUUUCUUUCUAGAGGUCAUGACUUCAUUCUAGCAAGACGAUUCAAUCACAAUGCUACCAAUGACCAAAGGCAGAAUGUUCAUCCCAACACCAGAAAUCCAAGAAAUAGCUUCAACAACCAGCUUCCACCAGAACAAAAACUCCAAAAAUCUAAAGGUACUCUUAUUUACCAAAUUUUUAAUAAAGCUAACCAUUCAGCUUUGGAUUGCUAGAACAGAUUCAACUAUUUGUAUCAAUCAGAAGAGAUUCCUCAAGCUUUGGCUGCUAUGGCUCUAAAUGAAGAAGAUAAGGAUCCUAAUUUUUAUGUGGACUCGAGAGCAAAAACCCAUAUAACAAAUGACCUAGGUAAGAUUACCCAAGUAAUUCCAUAUAAAGGGCAUGAUGCAAUUUUUGUUGGAAAUAGAGAAGCUGUAAGAAUCUCACAAAUUGGUGAAGCUAGACUAAAAACUAAACAUAUAGAUCUAAAGCUUAAAAAAUUAUUGGUUAUUCCAAAAAUUAAGAAAAAAUUGUUAUCCAUUGGACAACGUACCUCUGAUAACCCAUGCUCCAUAGAAUUCUCAUCAACUAGUUUUGUCAUUAAGGAUCAACUUCAACAAGUGCUAGCUAGAGGAACUAAGAAGAGAGGUCUCUAUGCAUUGGAGGAAAAUGUGAUUCAAGCCAUGAUAGUUACUAGGUCUAGCAAGGCACCAUAAGAAGUGUGGCAUCAACGCAUGGGGAAUCUGCAAACAAAAUCUAUAAAGCUUCUACAAGAUAAGAAUUUCAUUGAAGUAUCUAGUUGGAUGAAAUCAACAAUAGUUUGUGUUAGUUUUCAAUUAGGAAAAAGUUGUAAAGUUUCUUUUGGCUUAAAAAAUAAAAUUUCCAGCAAUCUUCUUGAAAAAAUUCAUUGUGACUUAUGGGGACUUGCACCAAAUAAUUCAACUCAAGGAUACAAGUAUUAUGUUGUCUUUAUUGAUGAUCAUACUCACUAUACAUGGCUUUAUCCCUUGAGAAGAAAAUCAAAUUUCUAUGAAUGUUUUUUGAAGUUUCAAAAUCUGGUUGAGAAUCAACUUGAAAGAUAGAUAAAAAUCUUCCAAAGUGAUGGUGGAGGUGAGUUUCAAUCAAUUAAAUUUCAAAAUCACCUAAGCAAGUGUGGAAUUUUGCAACGAGUCUCAUGCCCAUGAACUCCAGAACAAAAUGGGGUUGUAGAGAGAAAGCAUAAACACAUUGUUGAAAUGGGUUUAACAAUGCUUUUCAAUGCCAAAUUACCAUUGAGUCUAUGGGUAGAUGCAUUCCAUACUGUCGUAUACCUUAUUAAUCGACUGCCUUCCAUGGUGUUGAAAAUGUAGAGUCCAUUCUUUAUGUUUUUCAAACAAUAUCCAGAAUAUAGGAGCUUGAGAAUUUUUUGUUGUCGAUGUUUUCCAUACCUUUGAGACUACGGGAAGAAUAAAUUCUCACCUAAGAUAUCUCCAUGUGUUUUUAUUGGAUAUAGCUCUCUACACAAGGGUUAUAGAUGCUUGCAUCCUUCAACUAAAAGAGUUUACAUAUCUCAUCAUGUCAUCUUCAAUGAAAAUUGCUUUCCUUAUGCUAACUCUCUUGUUAAGAAAAAUCAUUUACAGAUUCCUAUAGAAAUGGUAUCAUUCUCAACUUCAGAUGUUUUUUGUGAGACUUAAAAAAUGGAUCACCAAACUAAGUCUUGGAAGGAGAACACUGCUAACCAAUCAAGCAACUCCAAGAAGUUCAACCAUUGGUCAUGCACUACUAGGUAAAGAAACUGGUUUAGUGUUGACGGAAGAAUUUCUACUAGUUGUAUUACUAACCAAAAUACAAAAGCAUCAUGUGUUAAUCCGACUGGAACUCCCACUACUAUUACUGUUGAAAUUUCCACUAUUGUUACUAGUAAAAAUGACCAUAAUACCGUCAUUACUACUGAAACUCCCACUGAUGUUGCUCUUGGUUCUAGUGGCCACAAUUUCAACACUGCAACUACUAUUGGAACACUCUCCUAGAUUGAGUCUACUAGUAGCUACAAGCCUGCCAAUGUUAGUAAUUUUCCUUAUAUCAGUAAGCACCUAGUAGUUGAUCUCUCUUUCCCUUAAAAAUGGCAGAAAAAUGAGCAUGUUGGUUCAUCUCCGCAAAACAAAUCCACCAGUCACAGUGUUGAUGAUGAAGUUCCUGAUAUUAGCAAGCAAAUUGUUGUUGACAUCUCUUCUCCUCAGGGCUAACACAUAGAUAACAAAGAAACUCAUAUGAUCACCAGAAGUAAACUCAAGAAUGAUCCCAGUUUAAAGUCUCAAAUGGUUACUUUUGUUGCCAUAAGAAGUAAUAUUAGUGAGCCAAAAACAUAUUGUACAACAUUGAAAAUUCCCUAUUGGUUCAAACAAUGCAAGAGGAAAUUAAGGAUUUAAUCCAAAAUCGAACAUGGGAUUUGGUUCCUAGGCCUCCAACUGCAAAUAUUGUGGGUUCUAAAUGGGUGUUUAAAACAAAGCUAAAGGAAGAUGGAACCAUAGAUAGAUACAAAGCACAAUUAGUUGCUAGAGAUUUUUCUCAAAUACCGGGUUUGGACUUUGGAGAGACCUUCAGCCUAGUUAUAAAGCAUACUAUAAUCAGAUUGAUCCUUUCAUUAUCAGUAACCUUGGGGUGGACAAUGAGGCAAUCAGAUGUUAAGAAUGCCUUCAUACAUGGGUUUCUAAAGGAAAAAGUACUCAUGGAACAACCUCCAGGAUUUAUAAACAAGGACUUUCUGAAUCAUGUCUACAAAUUGAAUUGUUCUCUUUAUAGCCUUAAGCAAGCUCCAAGGGCCUAGUUAAAUAAACUAUUUCAAUGUCUUCUUCAUCUGGGGUUUUACUGUGGUAAAAUAGACUCGUCUUUAUUUAUUCUUCGCAAAGGUCAGUCUAUUGUUUUGCUACUUAUCUAUGUUGAUGAUAUUAUAGUCACAGGCAAUGAUAACAACAUCAUUAGUGACCUCAUCAGCACCCUGAGUAGUGAAUUUUCUCUCAAGGACUUAGGAUUUUUGCAUUAUUUUUUGGGAUUGGAGGUUAAAUAUCUUCUUAAUGGGUUGUUUCUUUCUCAAACAAAGUACACUAGAGAUCUCCUAGAGCACACAAAAAUGAUGGAGUGUACUCAUAUCAACACAUCCAUGGCUCUUAAGUCCAUCAUCACACCUUCUGAUGAACAACCUAUUGAUCCUACAUGAUAUAGGUAACUUGUUGGAUUCCCCUAAUAUUUAACCUUCACAAGGCUUGAUUUUGUGCAUGCAGUAAACAAGGCCUACCAACAUUUCCAAGCACCCACUAAAGUUGACUUGCAAGCUGUCAAACGCAUCCUUAGAUAUUUGAAGGAAACAAUGGAGCAUGGAAUCAGGUUUUUCAAGCAAAGUUCGCUUCGUCUCACUGGUUUUUGUGAUGCUGAUUGGGCAGGAUGCACAAACACAAGAAGAAGCACAUCUAGGUAUUAUAUUUUUCUAGGAGCCAAUUGUAUCUCAUGGUCCUCAAAGCGACAACCUACAAUUUCUAGAUCAAGCACCGAGGCCAAAUAUCGAUCCCUUGCGUCCAGUGCUGCAGAAAUAACUCGGCUUACUUUCCUUCUCCAUGAUAUUGGCAUUCAACUAUGUGAACCUUCUCAAUUUCUAUGCGAUAACCUCAGUGCCCUUCACAUGACAGUACAUCUCGUCUUCCAUGCAUGGUCCAAGCAUAUUGAGUUGGACUAUCAUUUUAUUCGGAAAAAAAGUUGCAAGUGGAGUUUUGAUUACUUGUUUCCUUCCAUCGUCCUUACAAGUAGCUGAUAUAUUCACAAAGACACUCCCUAAGACUUCAUUCCAAGUCUUUCGAUUCAAGCUAGGAGUGCACAAGUUACCACUCACUAGCUUGCAGGGGGCUAAUAAAGGAAAGUCAAACUCAACUAGCAUACAAUCCAUGCCAAAGCAAUCUUUACGUGAGAAGUUAGUAAUGCAAUCUGCUAGGUAGGAAAACUACUCUCAAUAUUUGUAAUGUGGAAAAUCAAGGCUGGAAGGAAAUCUUCACUUACCUGUUCUGUAUAAUAUUCCCUUUUCUAUGCAAAUAAAGUAUGUAUUGUUUAUUUAUUUUUUAGAAAAAAUCAGUAAAGCGUGGUACAAAUUCAAUCUUUCAAAAAUAGUUUAUGUUCUUCAUGCAUGGAUAAUAAAUCCCAUGGAUAAAUUGUAUUUAGCAGCGGCUGAAGCUUUCUAUAUGACUAAAGAGAAAAAAAGUCAUUAAAAAACUAAUUGCCAUGUGACUACGUCUACCAGUAGAUAGUUGAGAACAAGGUCUAACUCUUAACCUUUUGUACUACCUUUACAAAGGAACACAAAAUUGAGAGAUUCAAAGGCAACUAUAGUAUAAAUAUUGUUUCAUAAAUUACUUUUCAAAUUUAAUUUGAUAACAAAAAUUUAGAAUACAAAAGUAUGAAAAAUUUGUUCCAUUCCCAAAAUUUUUGCAAAUAAAAUUUUAAAGUAAUAAAUUAACACCAUGACUCUUUUCACAUCUUAUUCUCCUUUCUAUCAAAGAAAUGAUAGUAAUAAUCUUAUCUAUAAAUUUUAAAUGAGGCAAGAUCAUUGAAUUUUUAUUUUCUUUUAUUUUCUUGUUAUGUAAUUAUCAAACACAUUUUUUUUUUAAGACAAAAAAAAAUUAGACUGAAGAAAUAUAUUUUUGCCCUGAUUUAGUCACUUGGAUUGCAAUUCGAAGGAUGGAAAUAAAAGUGUAUUCUUGGAGUUAAAGAUCAAUUGAAAGCUUAAAGCGGCUUGUUCUCGAAUGAAUUUAAUGAAUGACGAAGAAUACAUGUGUUGUAAUUUUUUGGAUUUGUAGGGGAAUUUUAUGAAGCUCUUUUCUCUUUGUCAGGCUUCUUUUUUUGUAUGAUUUUUUUUCUUCAUCAUUUUCAUUCAAGGAAGUCGCAUAUAUUUAGAGAUGAAAUUAAAAAAUUAAAUUUAGAAUUCCUAAGAUUUGAUUACUUAAUUAAAAAAAAUUGGUUUCUUGAUUUUAGCAACUUGUCUCCUCUAUUAAGGAAGUUUGCUAAUAAGAGAAUAUUUAAUUAUCAUUUUCUUUUGACUUCAAUUAGAAGAUUUGAUUCGUUUGUUCAUAAAAUUUGAAAACAAAAAAAAAAAUUAUUUCUAUUUUUUUAUUUCAAUUGUUUAAUUUAAUUUGAUUUUGGAAGACUUUAUUUUAUAGUUUUCCAAAUUUUGUUACAUGUCAUUUUUUGAAUUGCAUGUUACAUAUUCAAUAUACAUGACCCAUCACUUAUUAAGCAUAAAUUUCGUUGAGCUAAGGAGUUACAAUUUUGAAGACUAAUUUGAUAGUAUUUUAAUCCACUAAAAUUUUUUAUGUCUACAAAUGCCCCGUCUUCAAGACAAACACACACAUGCAUUGUCAUGUAUAAAAGAUGAGUCUUGAAGUUAGCAUUUUGAAUCUUUAAUAUCCUUCUUUGAUAUUUUUUUUUUCAAAGAAAUAUUUUAAUAGGAAAUUUCCUAUUUCAAAAUACCUUUCUUCAACUUUUUCCAAAAACGACUUUAUUUUCUUCCUUUUUUUCUACCUGGUAUCAAGGAAAGACUUUGUGUUAAUGGGAAAGUUUCUUAUUUGAACAUAUAUUUGCUUUUCUCAUGGUAUUUUCACUUCCAAUUUAUCAUCCUACAAGAAGUCCUUCACCCUUGGUCGAUUGUAUCUUAGACUUGAUCACAUGCCUUUAACUUGUAAUUCUUGCUCCACUUUAUUUAUUUUAUUUUAUUUUAUUUUAUUUUUAAAAAAGAAUACAAUGUAUAUGAGCAAGACCUUGAGCAAGAGGAGCAAGGUGGAGGGUGGAGCAUGAGCUAGCCUUAGGGUAAGACCUUGAGCAAGAGAAGUAAUGUGGAGUGUAGAUCACAAACUUCUCUGGAGCAUGGUAGGCAUACCGUCACAGAAUUGUCUUCCACAUGGAGCAUGGUAGGGUUUAUACAUAUGAUAGGGUGUGCCAUCAUGUAACAAUGAAGAACAACAAUCCAUGGUGUACAAUUGGGAACAACAAUUCAUGCUAUCAAGCUUCAACAUUUUUUUUUACCCCCAUCUCCAUUUUUUCAACUUCUUUUUUUUUUUUUUGUCCUUUUUUUUUCCCUUUUUUUAAGCAUUGUUUUUAAGGAAGAAAUAGGUUUGCCAUCCCUUACUAUGAGGUCAAUAUCCAUCACUUGCAAAGACAAAUUUGCUUUUUGAUAUUUUUUCUUCUUCAAUAAUUAACUUAACAUUUUAAUAUAUAUAUAUAUAUUUUAACAAACUUGAAUAUUCAUAAUAAAAUAAAUAUUUAAUGUCUUUACUCAUCCAAAUUAGCUUGACUUGAAUACUUAGUAGAUCCAUACUUAACACCCAUGUAGACGAGCUGUAACCUUGAUGGCAGGUUGUGUUGUAUUUUCGACACUUAAUGUGCCUUAAGAGUUAAAGUCUUCUCUCAUACAAAUUAGCUUGGUUUGGAUGCACAAUGGUGUGUAACUUUUUAACACUUUAUUAAACUUGGAACCAUAUUUAACACCCACGUAGACAAGUCAUAAUCAUGACAUGGAUCACUGUUUUAUUUUUAGCUCUUAAUGUGGCUUAAAUAUUAAAUUCUUCACUCAUACAAAUUAAAUUGGGUUAGAUGCACAAUGGUGUUCAACUUGUUAACAGUUAAUUAAAAUUAGAACCAUAUUUAACACCCAUACAAACAAGUCAUAACUUUGACGUGGAGCAGUGUUGUAUCUUUGGCUUAAUGCCGCUUAAGUGUUAAAGUCUUCACUCAUAUGAAUUAGCUUCACUUAGAUGCAUAGUUGUAUUAUACUUUUUAACACUUAAUUUAAAUUUGGACCAUAUUGAAAACCCAUGUGAACAAGACAUAACCUUGUAGUGGUGUUAUAUUUUUGACACUUAAUGUAGCUUAAAUGCUAAAGUCUUCACUUCUAUGAAUUGGUUCACCUUGGAUGAAUAGUGAUGUCUAAAUUGUAAUAAUUAAAAUUGAAACCAUAUUUAACACUCAUGUAGAUAAUCAUAACUUUGACGUAAUGGCAUUGUAUUUUUGACACUUAAUGCAGCUUAGGUGCUAAAGUUUUCACUCAUGAGAAUUGGUAUGAGUUAGAUGCAUUGUGGUGUCCAACUUUUUAACACUCAAUUAAAAUUGGAACCAUAUUUAACACCAAUGUAGAUAAGUCAUAACCUUGACGUGAAGCGAUAUUGUAUUUUUGACACUAAAUGCAACUUAGGUGCUAAAGUCUUCACCCACGCAAAUUGGUUCAUCUUGGAUGCACAAUGGUGUCGAAUUUUUUUAACAUAUAAUUAAAAUUUGAACCAUAUUUGACACUCAUGUAGACAAGUCAUAACCAUGAUGUAGAGUAGUGUUGUAUUUUUAACACUUAAUAUGACUUUACUGGUAAAUUCUUUACUCAUGUGAAUUGCCUUGAUUUGGAUGCACAACUAACUUUUUAACAUUUUAUUAAAUUGGGUAUCAUAUGUGUUGUUUUUUUAACACUUAAUACGACUUUAGUGGUAAAUUCUUUACUCAUGUGAAUUGUCUUGAUUUGGAUGCACAAUGAUGCCUAACUUUUUAACAUUUUAUUAAAUUGGUAUCAUAUUUAACACCAAUGUAGACAAGUCAUAACUUUAAUGUAGAUGCGGUGUAGUAUUUUUGGCACUUAAUAUUGUUUAAGUGCUAAAGUCUUCACUCAUGUGAAUUUUCUUGGUUGAGAUGCACAAUGGUGUGUAACAUUUUAACAUUUAAUUAAAAUUGGAACCAUAUUUAACACUCGUGUAGAGAAGUCAUAACCUUGACAUGGAGUAAUAUGCAAUUUUUUUAUAUUUAAUAUGACUUAAGUGCUAAAGUUUUCACUCAUGCGAAUUGACUUGACUUGGAUGCAUAGUGAUGUCUAACAUUUUAACACUUAAUUAAAAUUAGAGCUAUAUUUAAUAAUCAUGUGGACAAGAAAUAACUUUGACGUGAAACAAUAUUGUAAUUUUGACACUUAAUGUUGCUUAAAUGCCAAAGUCUUCACUCAUACAUAUUGACUUAGCUUGGAUGAAAAGUGGUAUCCAACUUUUUGACACUUUCUUAAAUUUGGAAUUAUGUUUAACAUCAAUAUAGACAAGUAAUAACCUUGACGCAGAGUGAUGUUAUAUUUUUAGCACUUAAUAUAGCUUAAGUGCUAAAAUAUCCACUUCUAAGAAUUGACUUGGCUUGGAUGCAUAAUGGUGUCCUACUUUUUAACACUUAAUUGAAAGUGAAAUCAUAUUUAACACCCAUUGUAUGCUAGUCGUAAACUUGAUAUAGAGCAUUGUGCAACUUUUUAACACUUAAUGCGACUUAAAGUGCUAAAGCCUUUACUCAUAUGAAUUAAUUGAACUUAGAUGCACAUUUGUUUCCAACUUUUUAAUACAUAAUUAAAAUUAAAACCAUAUUUAAAAACCAUGUAGACAAAGACAUAAUCUUAACAUGGAGCUAUGUAUAACUCUUAACACUUAAUUAAAAUUGAGAUUACACUUAACAACCACAUAUUCCUCCUAUUUUUCAAUUUUUUCUUGUGGUGAUGAUUGAACUUAACUAGUUUGUCCAAGUUGCCUAUAUACCCUUAACAGAGAGGGAAUCAAGUCAAACUUAGUUCAAAGUAUUUCUUUUAAUCUCUAACUUUUGCCAAGGCUAAUGAUUUUAAUCUUACAAGCUUGUCUUAACUUUUGACCAUAUAUGUAGUCUUUUUAGGUUUCAAUUUAACGGCCUAUAUAUGACUUGUACAAAUUGAAAAUGACUUCAAUCAUGUGUAAAAAAUAAUAAAAGAUAUUCAUUCCUAGUUUUAGGGCAACGAAAAAUAGUUGAUCCUUUUUUAUAUUAUUAUUAUUGUUGUUGUUAUUAUAAUUAUUAUUUCACCUUACAAAAAGACCUUCUGCAAUUAAUAUUUUAUACAUAUAUAUAUAUAUAUAUUUUAUCUUUUAUAUAUUUAGUUUUCAUAGUAUUUUUUAAUUCAAUAUAUAUAUUUUUUAAAUAUCUAUACUUUCGGUCAAUGUCUCAAAUUUAAAGCACGUGCAUGCUCUAGAAAUUCUCAAGUUGUAGGCUUGUGGCCUACAAUGUCAACUUAGAGUUUGAUGAAAAAGCGCAUAAACAAAGACAAAAAAAUUAAUCUACAAGUACUUGGAUUCUAUUUGAAUAAAAAAGAGCCACCCACAUGCAUGGAAUAAAUAUAUAUCCCAUGGAUUAGUUGUAUUUAGCCACGGCUGAAGCUUUCCACUAUGACUUAAAAAAAAAAAAAAAGAGGAUAAUGCCAUUAAAAAACUGAUUGCUACGUGGGUAUGCCUGCCAGUAGAUGGCUGAAAACUAAGUUCUAUUCUUUUCAAUAGUUGAGAGAUUCAAUGGCAACUAUCGUAUAAACAAUGUUUCAUAAAUUACUUUUAAAUUUUGACAGCAAAGACUAAAAAUGUAAAACCAUAAAAAAUUUGUUCCAUUCCCAAAUUUUUAAAAAUAAAAUUGAAAAUAAUAUAUUAACGCCCAUGACUGUUUUCACAUCUUAUUCUCAUUUCUAUCAAUGCAAUCAUCGUAAGCAUCUUAUCUAGAAAUAUGGCCUAGAGCCAUAGAGCUGCCUUUUCUUUAGUCCUAGAGCCAUUUCAUGAGCUAAUAGUAGUCUUUCCUUAGCAUUUCCAGCCCAAAGCUCCCAUUUCCUUAGGCCUAGAGACGUUUUCAGCCCAGAGCCGCUGUUUCUUUCGGCCUAUAACCAUUUUCAGCCUGAAGCUGCCUUUCUCUAGCAUUUUCAGCCCAAAGCUUCCUUUCCUUGGCAUAUUAGCCCGAAGCUUCUAUUUCUUUAGGCCUGGAGCCAUUUCAACCCAGAACUGUCAUUUCUUCUAAAUAGCUUCUCUUUUAAAAGACUUCAGUUUGUCUUUCUAGUCACAAAAUUUAAGGCUUUGUUCCAGGUUUGAAGAAGCUGGUAAAAAUCUGGCUGUUGACUAAGCUCAACUAAAAAACAGUAAAGCUUGCUGACCUGGGUAAUAAAUAACAGCUAUCUUGGCAGUAUUGUUAGUUAGUUAGAGGUUUUUUUUUUACUAUUAUAAAAGGUGCAGACUUGGGAAAACUGAAAUAAGGUAUUCAAUUGUACAGAAUAGAGAGCAAGAAAAGCAGAGAGCUUUGAAAUCCAUAACCACAGGUCUGUUUCGGUUUUCCUAUAGAGAAAAGAAAGAAACAGAGGUGAGGAGGGUUCUUGGGGAAAGCCUAUAAGUUCUUUGUUUUUUAUUCUUGUGUAAAUUCUGGUUGGUACAAUUUAAUAAAGGCUUCAGGAAAUCAGUGUGAAUGUAGAUCAAGUUGAUCGAACCACGAUAAUUCUCUUGUGUUCUUGAUCUUGGUUGAUUGUCUACAAGCUGUUUGAUUUUAUUCCUAAGAGAAGUUCUUGCAAACUGGUUGUCUUUUUCUGGUUUAGUUUCUGCUCUAAUAGUCCCUAAUUCAAGACUGGCUUUUCUCAACAGCAUGGUUUGAAACACAUAAUUUUCACCAUUCAAAUGCAAAACAAUUAACUAAUUUCAAAUGCUAUGUGUUGUUUCCUUCUAAUUUCCCCUUUAUUUUUUUUUCUCUCCUAUUUUCCUUCAAAUUUUUGGAAAACCAAACAGAGCCUAAAAGAAAAGAUAAUUUUACUUAUUUUGAAAGUUGUUUCAUGUUAAUUUAAUGAAGCAUUUAUAAUAUUAAGAUCGCCCUUUCAUAAUCAUGAGGUAACCUUAGUUUCAACUUCUACAAGAGGCUAAAUGAAAAAAGCUAUCACAGAGAAGAAGGCCUCAGCCAAUGAGUGGAAAAUACAAUUUUAUUAAUACUUGAUAUCAAAAAAAAGAAAAAAAAAAAAAAGGAUGAUUUUACUUUCAAACCAAGGAUUUAUUUAUGUUGAAGUGCAGUCUCCAUAUGCACAUGUGACUGCAUUUACAGGAUAAAGAAAGACAAGGAAAUUAACAAUGUUGGACUUACUGGAAAAUCAUACAAAUUAUUGAAGGAGGACCUUAGCUAGGCUAACUGUCUCCUAAAUUGCCCAUCUUUUAUAUAUCUUUGCAAUCAUCCAUCUCAUCAUCAGCUUUGAUUUUAGAUGGUGAGGAUGUGAAAGUAACAGGAAGCAGUGGACGAUUGUUCACAGUGAGGCUUAGCACAUCAGCUCUCGAAUAAUGUCCUACCACAUCGAACUGGAACUUUGCUUUAGGAAUCUCUCCACGAACAUCUGCAUAUCAAGUGAUCAUCAAAAUAUUUGAUCAGCCCGUGAUAAAUAUCAUAGAGUAUCAAGUCUUCCAUGAAACCAUGUUUGCAGUCCUUUUAAACCUAAAGAAUUGACUCAUUUGCCUUAUCUGCAUACUGAAAUAUUUGGAUAUACAAUUGGAGAAGUUAGGGCCAUACCAAGAUCAGCUGUGAAGAGGCCUUCUCCUUCAUAAUUUGGUCCUGCUAGAAUUUCGCCAUGGGGCGAAAUGAUGACACUACCUCCAGCCCAAACAAUAGAAUCUGGAGUGACAUCUUCUUCUGUAGGACUGUAAAGAUACUCAGGUGGAGGUGGGUAAUCUUUCCUCCGACAGAACUGGAUGGGUGAAAGAACAUAGCAUCCACCCUCAAUAGCGAUGUGUCUCAUUGUGGCUACCCAUUUAUCCCCGGAAUCGGCAGUAGGAGCACAAUAUAUCUCAAUACCUAUAUAUAUGAACAUUGGUAUUCUGUGAUCAAUCAAUCCCAUAUCAAAGCCACAAUGUAUUUCAAGACUGCUUAGAUUAAAACCCUAAUAAUGUAAAAGGGUGCUGGAGGUCCUAUUUGGUAAUUGUCUUCGGAACAGUUUUGAGAAAUAGUUUUUGAAAGUUGUUCUUUAAUAGUUUAUAAAACAUAAGAAUAUUUGAAACCUAAAAUAUAUUCAACUUAUUAAAAAUAAUUUUUAUAUUUAAUACUUUAUUUUUAAAUAUUCUUCAUAUUUAUAUAAUUAUUUUUUAAAACAACCUUAAAAACAAA